AUGGGCAAUUUUGCCAUCUAAAAUGGAAGUCAAAUAGAGGGAUCAAGCUGCAGCUGGGCUUUCAGAAAUCUCGGUCCGAUGACGCAUGCCAGCAUUAUCACGUCAGCAGAACGGCAAUUUAAUCCUCUCGACAUGCCGAAUUUCUCGGGUCAUAUCUUCUACGUUUCUCGUACAGCGUGCGAGCACAUCUCAUGGGUAAUUCGAUGAAUCCCGCAAAGACAGCAGAUUACAGAUUCAAAAGUAAAAUUCAUCUCCAUCCAUUUUGUUGCGAAACGAGAUGAUCACGGGACCAUCUUGCUUUAUUCAUAUUGAUCUCAUAUAUAAAUCACGGCACACAGAAGUAUAUAUAUGACAAAAGAAAGAAUGUCUACCAAGACCAACCGAUCAAAACCUAGCAAGACUCAUCAAACUACCACCGAUCUAAACCGUAUGUAUAGAAACCAGUCACCCAGGAGUAGUCGAGGACAAAACGCAACCAUCUCUACUGCAGGAGAGUCGCCGCGAGCAGUGACACAAGCGCGGAGGCCACCACGGCCACGGCGGAGACCGGGGCGAGACCGGCGGCCGCUCCGGCGUCUGGCGCGGGCGCGGGCGCCGACGAAGGCGCCAUGAUGCCCUGCGCCGAUGCGGAGGCGAAGAAAACGGAGGCCACGGCCAUGGCGACGAGCAGCACGGCGGCGCGGGGAGCCAUCACACCCUUCUUUCCUGGGCUGAGAAACGCUAGGGAGCUCUGUACGAGACCUGGCGGCGUCGAGGAGAUUGGUGUGGGAGGAGGAGGCGGCGUGGUGGAUGGAUGCUUAGGGAUGGAGGAUGGUGGGGGUUUAUAAUGGAGGCGGCGUGGCCCGUGGGUUUUGCGGUGCACGCAAACGCGUUUCGGUCGCGGGGCGUGGGAACGCGAGGUGGCCUGUGGGGUUGGGGGCCUUCCGCGUGACCGCCGUCUGUUGGGCUGGGGGGUGGGUUGGCAUGACGCGGUGCCGUUGGCCCGACUCCACCGACGGACGCGUCUUGGUGGAAGCUAAGAAUUAGGUUCGUGGCUAACCCGAACGCCAAAUGUGGUGCCUUGAGCUAGCCGGGCAGCACCGACUUCGGAUCGUGGCUAACGGAAUGCCAAAUGCGCCUUGUCCUCGUGCUUAGUUGCACCUUGCACGCCACCGGCUUUCUUUCUUUCUUAUUUUUCUUUUUUAACACAAUACAGACCGUAGCGUUCAUGUACUCACGUAUAUUACUCGUUCAUGAACGCACAUGUAUAUUCUAUCUUUACGAACAACUUUGAUAGACUGAGCUAACAUAUCAUCUUAAAAUUUACGAAGUCGUCGUAGACGCCUCGUCGUCGACGUAAACGCCUCUUUCAACUGAAUGCGCAUCUUCGAAAAUCUGAAAAUAAAUUUAAAAAUAAAUGCGAGCACCAGUAUUUGAAUCUUGAUGGACUGAGAUAUUACACUCCCUCUAACCAUCCAACUAGAGGUUAGCUUGCACUUCUCUUUUUUUCAACUCGUUUUCUGCAACAACAACAACAAUGACAACAAAAAAGUCCCAUGGUAAACAUCCAGAUAAUUCAAAGACGACGGCAACAGAUUGUAAAUAGAACAUGAAUAAUGUGAUGAUAAAUGCAACGAAUAAAUAAUUCUGCAACUAUAAUACAUGAGUAAAUAUAUUGUGGAAAAAAAUCUAAAGAACCGGUCUAGGACUGUUACAACACUCCUCAUUUACAAGUUAAUUUACUACCUUGAUCUCAUGGCUGGGCAAAUAGUUACCUCCAUACAUAGGUGGUGGGUCGAACCGUCGAAGUCUCAACCUGGCCCGACAUCCCCCGGGAGGACACUGCUUCUACUCUUCUUUUUGAUAUAGCUCAACAUUCAUGCCACGUGUGGUAUCACCGUCUAUAUUAUGUUGUUGUGGCAACGUGUCUCAUAUACCCUCCCUCAUCUUCUCCAAUAUUAAGAAUGAGGCGGCGCUUUGUGUUGAGGCCAGAGGGCAUGACAGUUAGAGCAUCUUCAAUAACAGCCCUACAAUAGGGCAUGAGCCGUUUCUAGGGCACGAGAGCAUCUAUAGCUGGACGACUCAAAAGACUCAUUAUAUGUCUACGGACGUGCCUCGUCAGUGGCCCGACAAAAAAUAGAAGAAAAAAAAGUAACCUAACUCGAUCCUUGAUAUUCAUCUCAUAUAUAAGUAGGAUAUAAGGGCUCGAGGUCGCGUCCGUGCGCAUCUAUCAGUCCGCUGCGUAGGACGCGGUCUCACCCCGAACCAUCUUUUCCUUUUCUUUAUUCAUUCAUUCUUUCUUUCUCUUCCUCUCCACCCAUCACAUGCAAGUGACCGGACAUAUGAGGAAGGAAAUGAGAAAUGUGGUUGUACGGACAGAAAAAUAGGAGACACGUCCGGUCACUGACCGGACGCGUCUGCGGACGUUUAGAAGGGUCAUAUUUGCUAUGUCCAGUUGUAAAUGCUGUGAGGGGACAAAAAAGACGUCCAACGGCUACCCAAUCCUAGUAUUUUGUAAAAAAAAAAAUUAAACAACCCUAGAAAAAGGCUUAUUGUGAGGCAAAUUUAGGGCAUUGUGGCUGAAAACCCUUGGAUCCAUCUAUCAGCCAACUAGUACAUGUCAUGGCUAGCGCCUUCGACCCUGCCGUCGAUCCUGAUAUGCUCACCACCAUUGCCGCCCUAUUUUAGGGCGGCUGUUGGAACGGUUGUGCCCUAUUCCGUGUACAAAAAGGCAUAAAAAUGUCUUUUGGACAUGUAAUAGGGCUGCUAUUUAAGAUGGCACUUUCUCGUGUCCAAAACUUUUUAUUUUCAAGGAUACGUCAAGAUAGACGUAUCGGGAUCAUAGAAAGAAGAAGCCAAGAAGGCAGAUUAUGGUACAACUCAUCCACGGCUCAAAGAGCCACAUACCUCAUGCGGACUACUCGCUAUCCUCUACCGUUCCUGCCCUAAUUGGCAAAGAUCUAGGAUCUCGCAACAGUUUUGCCGCCCUCCAAUCUUGGGCCUCAAUGUCGAUUUGCCUCUGCAUCGUUGCCGCGUCCGGGGAAGCUCCGUUGAAGACAAUCUUGUUUCUGUGGCGCCACAAGGUCCAAACAACCAGAGAGAUUACCGUCCAAAUCUCCUUGCUGAUUCUAUGGAAAGUAAUGGAGAGGUCGGCCAACUAGCCAGCUGCGAGUCCUGGUUCGGCAACCAAUUGGGCUUGCCCUAAUUCCUGACUAUGUCUUUCCAUACCUGUCUGGCGAGCCCGUAACCGAGGGUGAUGUGAUCAAUAGUUUCCGCAGCCUUGUGACAGAAGGGGCACACCACUAGACGCGGUAGUUGGCGACACUCAAGUCUAUCAACCACUUCACCCAUUUUCCAUGCCUUAUUAUACGGAUGUUGGAGAUGCUCUUAGGGGUUGAAGUAAGUGAGAGUGAUCCCUUGUACAGGUUGUGGCCUCCUAUUUUUGCAAUGGAAUUACAGAAAAGAUGUACAAAUUAAUCUCAGUUUCGUAACAAACUUCUUGUACUUGAUCGGCUGGGGCUGAUUUUGUUGCAGCCGAAAGGGUCGGGCCACCGUCGGAUCCGAUCCGACGGCCCCGAUUGCCCCGAUCGAAACCCUAGCAGGCGGCUGGGCCAUGAGGCGGACUGGGCCGGCUGGGCCUGCAAGGGAGCAGGCUCCGGUACUGGGUCACCGGGCAGUUUUCGGCCCAGAGAGCUUCAGACAUUAAAAGUUUUUAAUACAGUUUUUUCUAUGCAUUUUUCUCCAACAAAAAUGUGCUUAGAAAAUAGAAAAGAAAAAGGAGUGUCUCUGCAAAAUAAAAUAUAAAUUUUUCUGCAAAGAAAAAUAAAAGUUUCUGAAAAUAAAAUAGAGAUUUUUUGAGAAAAAGAAAAGUUCAUGGAUUUUAUAAAAGGAUAAUAAAGUUCAUGAAUUUUUAUUUUUAACAGAAUAUUUUUUUCUGUAAAGUAGAAAAAGUACAUGAAUUUUAUAUUCACGUUUUCCACUGCAAAGUAAUUUAAUAGUGCUAUUUUACGAAGUAAAUAAAAAUUUAGAGAGAAUAACAUUUAAGAGCAUAUUAAAGUGAUUAUUAAAAUAAAUAUGGUUAUGUUAUUUUUCUGACCAGCAUUGUUAAUAACAUGAUCAUGUUGCACUAUUGGCAUUAAGAUGCAUUUAUUUCUAUUAUUUGCCCAACGGUAAUAUAGAUUUAUUUGCAUAGAGAAUUGUAUGUUUAAUUUGACCAACGUUAGAUUAAUGCAUAUGAUUGUUAUACUGAUCUCUCUUAAAUUGUGAUUUCAUGAGGCUUCCACCUGAUGAGUUGCCUAAAAGAUGUUCCGACACUCAAAGGUGAUAAGUACUUUGAGUGGAGGAAGAAAGUAGAAAUGGCUUUUGUCUCUGCUGAGGUGGACUGGCUUCUGGAGGAACCACAACCCGUUAAACAUCCACAGCCAGUGAGAGAUGCAAAAGACACUAAUGUUGUAUGGGAGAAAAAGCAAAGGGAUUAUGCUCCAGUGGAGAUGUCCUACUCCCUUAACAACCAAAAGUGGAUAAAUGCCAACAAAAAGUGUCUGGCAUUUAUAAAUAAUACAAUUGAGAACGCCAUUGUGGGCUUAAUUACAGAGUGCACUUCCGUAGGGGAGAUGCUCACAAAGAUAAAGAGCCAGUUCACUGGCUCUUCAAAGACAUAUGCCAUCCAGUUGAUAAAACAACUGGUUACAGAGAACUACACUGGAGGUGGCCAUGGCAUUAGAGAGCACAUCCUUCAGAUGAGCAACAAGGCAGCAAAGCUCAAGCCAAUGGACGCGGAUCUGGAAAUCAAACCAGCACUCCUCAUCCACUUGGUCAUGGCUUCACUGCCAAAGGAGUUCGAAACUUUUGUUGUGAACUAUAACAUGUCCCCUGAAACAUGGAACAUUGAAAAUACAAUAGCAAUGUGUGUCCAAGAAGAGGACAAACUGAAAGCCUCACAUGGUGGUUCAAUCAACUAUGCGAAGGACAAUAAGAAAAAUAAUUUCAGUCAAAACAGCAAAGGUUCUCCUUCAAAGCCACAUGGUAAAGGCCCCUCACAUUUUCAGCAUCAGCAAAAGCCUCUUCUAGUGGACAGGGACACUUGUCUCCACUUCAAGAAGACAGGGCACUACAAAAAGGAUUGCCCUGACUAGCUAAAGACCAUCAUGGCAAAGAGAGGUAACGACAUCGUUUCCUUUGUUAAUGAAUCCAUGUAUUCACAGUUUUCGAAAUCUACUUCGUGGAUUGACUCGGGUGCAACUGUUCAUGUUGCAAACUCUUCACAAGGAUUCCGUUCGACGAGGAUUUUGCAAAGAAGAGAAAGAAGUAUUGAAGUCGCAAAUGGCGUCCAAGCAGAAGUUGAAGCUGUCGGCGACAUCUCCUUGGAGUUGGCUGAAGGAUUCAACCUUUUGCUUAGAAACGUCCUAUUUGUCCCUUCAUGUAAUAGAAAUUUAAUAAAGGUUUCUUGCUUAGAUAAAGACAAUUACGAGUAUUAUUUUGGACAUGGCAAGUGUGCCAUAUGGUACAAUAAUGCUUAUGUUGGUGUUGCCUUACUUCACAACGAGCUUUACUUGUUAUCACUUCGUGAAAAAGUGCAUUACGUGUGUAAUAUGAAUGAGCAAAAUUCCUCGUCGAACAAAGAACAAAAGAAAAGAAAGAGAACUCACGACUCAUCGAAGUUAUGGCACUGUCGUUGGGGCCAUAUUUCGAAAGGGGGGAUAGAAAGACUAAUUAAAAGCGAGAUACUUCCUCCACUUGAGUUCUUAGAUUUAAAACAAUGCAUUCAUUGCGUUAAAGGAAAGUAUGUAAAACAAAUUAAAAAGGGUGCAAACCGAAGCACUGGAACACUAGAAAUCAUCCACACUGACAUUUGAGGACCAUUUCCUGUGGAAAGCGUGGAUGCCUAUGACUCGUUCAUAACAUUCACAGAUGACUACUCCCGUUUCGGUUUUUAUUUAUCCAAUCAAAGAAAGAAAUGAAGCAUUGGGUAAAUUCAAAUUUUUCAGAGCUGAAGUUGAAAAUCAGCUUGACAAAAGAAUAAAGGUAGUGAGAUCUGACCGUGGGGGGAGUACUACGGUCGACAAACUCCAUAUGGCCAAGUCCUUGGACCUUUUGCAAAGUUCUUGCAGGCGACUGGCAUAGUAGCCUAGUAUUCAAUGUCGGGCGAGCCUCAGCAAAAUGGAGUAGCUGAAAGGCGUAACCGUACCCUUAUGGAUAUGGUGCGCAUCAUGAUCAGUUACUCCAACCUGCCAUUGGGAUUAUGGAUGGAGGCGCUUAAAACCGUCAUUCACAUUCUCAAUAGAGGACCAAGCAAGUCGGUGCCCAAAACACCGUACGAGUCGUGGACAGGAAAGGUACCAUCCUUGCAACACUUCAAAGUGUGGGGAUGCCCAGGUGAGGCCAAGAUGUUUAAUCCAAAUAUUGCAAAAUUAGAUCCCAAAACAGUGAGUUGCUACUUCAUUGUCUAUCCUGAUAGAUCAAAAGGUUUUCGUUUCUACUCUCCAGAAAAAUACACAAAGUUUGUAGAAACGAUACAUGCGGUAUUCUUAGAGGACGAAAUGAUGAGGGGGGGUCUGGUAGCUCGGAAAAUUGACCUUGAGGAGAAGAGGGUGCAUGCACCUAAUCCGAUGAUUCAAGAGCCAUUUUUCACACUACCUGUUGUAACUCCAACCAUGACAACUAUGGGAGAAGAUCCGGAACAUGUCCUUCAGGAUCCGACUGAACCUGUUGUUAAGCAUGAAAGGGAGGUACAACAGCCAAUUUUAGAGGAUGUGCCAGAGAACGAGGCACUUAGAAGGUCUAACAGAACAAGAAGGUCAACUAUUUCUGCUGAUUAUAAAGUUUGUAACACAUAAUUGGUUCAUAUGGAAGGUGGUCCCACUUCAUAUGAAGAAGCGAUGAGAAUCCCUCACUCAUCGAAGUGACUGGAGGCAAUGGAAGAUGAGAUGAAAUCGAUGAGUUCCAACGAUGUUUGGGACUUAGAAACUAUUACUAAAGGUGCCAAAACAGUAGAUUGUAAAUGGGUCUACAAAACAAAGUAGGACUCUAAUGGGAAUAUAGAAAAGUAUAAAGCACGACUCGUCGCAAAAAGAUUUACACAAAGAGAAGGGAUAGAGUACAAUGAGACUUUUUCCCUAGUCUCAUGUAAGGAUUCCUUCAAAAUCAUAAUGGCAUUAGUUGCACAUUUUGAUUUAGAGUUGCAUCAAAUGGAUGUAAAGACGACAUUUCUAAACGGAGAUUUAGAAGAAAAUGUCUACAUGAAAAAAUUCAAGGGUUUUAUCAUGGAAGGCAAGGAAGAUAUGGGAUGCCGCCUAAAGAAAUCCAUUUAUGGACUAAGGCAAGCCUCUAGACAGUGGUAUCUAAAGUUCAGCGAUACUAUUAAAAGAUUUGGAUUUAAAGAAAAUGUUGAGGAUAAUUGCGUUUAUGCAGAGUUCAAAAAUGGGAAAUAUAUUUUCUUAAUCUUGUAUGUGGAUGACAUCUUGCUUGGAACCAAUGGUGUUAGUCUACUACAAGAAACAAAGAAGUUUUUAUCCUCAAAUUUUGAUAUGAGAGACCUUGGUGAUGCUUCAUAUGUUUUGGGCAUUGAAAUUCACCGAGAUAGGAAAAAUAGAGUCUUAGGACUACCGCAGAAAGCAUAUUUAGAGAAGGUUCUCAAAAGUACAAUAUGCAUGCGAGCAAGGCCACACCUGCUUUUAUAGUCAAGGGCGACAGUUUUGGGAAAUUCCAAUGUCCCAAGAACCAGUACGAGCUCGAUGAGAUGAAAGCAGUAUCAUAUACUUCGGCUAUUGGAAGUUUACAGUAUGCACAACUGUGCACCCCCUGACUUAGCUUUUAUCACCGGGGUACUCGGUAGAUAUCAAGAGAAUCCAGACCUAGAGCAUUGGAAGAUGAUAAACAAAGCAUUACACUAUGUGCGAAGGCACAAACGAUAUCAUGCUAACAUACAAAAGAUUUGAUUCCCUAGAGAUAAAAGGGUAUUCAGACGCAGAUUUUGCGGGAGAUAGAAAUGAUAGAAAAUCCACGUCAGGAUACGUGUUCACUUUUGCUGAAGGGGCUAUUUCGUGGAAAAGCUCCAAACAAACCGUAGUUGCAUCGUCCACGAUGUAAGCAUAGUUUAUAGCAUGUUUUCAAGCCACUGGGAGGUGAUAUGGUUAAAGAAAUUUAUACCUGACUUGAAAGUGGUAGAUUGUAUUUACAAGCCACUAAAGAUGUACUGCGACAACCAACCCGCAUUAUUAUGCUCACAACAACAAGUUGAGUAAUGCUACCAAGACAAUAGAUAUAAAGUAUUAUGUUAUGAAAGACAAAAUACAGGAUCACACUAUAAGUCUCGAGCAUAUAAGGACAACGGAUAUGCUCGCAGAUCCGCUAACGAAAGGCUUACCACCCAAUGUGUUCAAAGAACACUUAGCCGGCAUGGGGUUAAUGGAAAGCCUAUGAUUCCUGGAUCAUAAGAGGCCCCAAAAGGAACAUAAUUUGUUUCUAAACAAAAGUAUGUUGUAGCUGUAUGAUUCUAUCGACAAUUAUGCUGUGACGAUGAGACAUGCUCUAUGUGUCAAUAUAUGAUGGAACAAAUAAACUAGAAAGUAUAAGGUUAAAGUAAAAGUUGAGAUCAAGAGGAAGAAUUAAUGUUAGGUUGAUCUCUUAGCAUGGGCCCAACGGCCCACCGUACCCUUGAUCCAUAUGCGCCCUGACCGGGGGCGCCCAACCCAUUAUGGUUGGUGGCCCCUGUGACCCGCACUAUCACUACAAGAGAACAGAGCUUUGGUAACACAUAGUAAAAUAUGUUACAAUCGAAAAUCCAGUAACACAUGAUUUGUGUUGCAAAGUCAGACUGUAACACAUACAAUAUAAGCUCAAAAAUGUGUUACGACAAUAUCGUCUAAGUAACACGUAAUUAUGUGUUGCACGUAAUGUGUUACACAGAUGUUGCUACAGUAACAUAUUAAUAUAUGUUAGUGGGAGUGUGUUACAAUAAGAUUGUAGAGAAAGUAACACAUAAUCAUGUGUUGAUCCAUGGUUUGGUUUUGAUAAAUAUCGAACUAUUUCGAGAUGGUUUUUGUAAAUACCAUAUUAGCCAAAUAAGGCGCUAAUUUUAGGAUGACUCAACGACCAUACAUGCACACCUUAAAUUGAUCAUAUAGAAUUAAGUAAUUGACGUCAAUGCAUGUACUCAUGAAGAUUAUAGUAUUUCAACUAAAAGCAUCAAUGAAGCACUAAAAGCGACUCAAAUGGGGCGACCCAUUUCGUCCGUCGCUGUCCGUUUGGGUCGGCACGGAUAAAAAACUUUGCCCAACUAGGCGACCCAAACGGACAACAAGUCCGUCUGGUGUCCAUUCCCGACCCAGACUGAACCAAAAUAUGGGUCACAAAUGGGUCUGCAGCGGAUAAAAGCGGGCGCUCCCGUCGUCUCCUCCCGUCCGCUCGUGUCCGCCCUGGUCCCACCCAUUAGUGACUGGGCACUCGUCCUCCUCACCACCGCCGCCCCGCCGACCCUGUAGGUGGAGCCGGGUCUGGGGACGAGGGAGGUAGCGAUGGCCUCAGUCUCGGUCUCCGGGUCGGAGACGGUAAUGUAGGAGUACUCGAACGUGGCGGCGCGUGCGGAUCUCGGGGAGGCAGAGGCGAAGCGCAGGGAGGAGGCGACGACCCCGACAAAGGACGAAGGGUCGACGAAGGAGGAGGAGGCACGGGACCGGGGGAAGGCGGCGGGGGUGGGAGGGGAGGUGGCGAGGAGGAGGAGAGGGGGUGCUCGAAGGUGGAGGCCAUGUACUACUAUUUCGGAAGAAAAACAAGUGGAGGGAUUUUUUAAUGAUUCCCGCUAAUCUUUACUUUACCCUCCAAUACAAAAAGUAGACCCUUCUGAUUAAACAACGGUAAAUAAUUCCCCGUGAUUAUCUCAUCUGCACAAACAAGAAAAAAGAAAUACUCAUCUACCCACCACCGCGCCGCCGCCCCACUGCUGCGCCGGCCCCUACCACCAAGCCGCCACCGGCGUACACCGACCACCGCGCCGCCGCCCCCAACCGCGUCGCCCCACCACUACGCCCCCGCACCAAGCCGCCACCAGCGUACUCCGUCCACCGUGCCGUCGCCCCCGACCGCGUCGCCCCACCACCAAGACGCCACAGGCGUACUCCGACGACCGCGUCGCCCCACCACUACGCCGGGCACCACCACCAAGCCGGCACCGGCGUACUCCAACCAACGUGCCGCCCUCCACCUCCUGUUGCCUCUCGAUUCUCCUACCGCUCGUCGUUGCUCCAGGAUGCCGUGCCCCAUCGCCAGAUCCUGCGCUGCUCGCCGCCUCCCGCCAACCAGCAGCUCCCGGCAUUGCCUCUACCCUGGUGGGAUCUCGCCAUCGGCCAUGCCCUAGAUCCUGUUUCCCUGAUGAUAGAUUUAUGCCCCCUACAUGCCUCCCCUCACCAUUAGCCAAAAUCUAGAUGUAUAUUUGAUCCUUUGCCGGUCCUUGUUCCCAUUGUGAGGUUUGAUUUUGUUGUCCGAUUUUUCAGAAUUUGAUUUGGUUCGUUGAUCUCAUUCCCUAGGUUUGCAUUUGCCACCUUAAUUUCUUUUCACACAGUUUAAUAAGACCUUCACAUGAGUUAAUUUUUCAGGAGGAGGCUAGCAUCCAGCAGCAUAUGGUGCCGCAAAAUCAACGUGUAGGUCAUCCAGCUAAUCAGAUAUGUGUGCUACAGUAUCCUUGGUCGUUCUUAUUUUCAUCCUCUGUUGCGAACCUGCGCUUGUUAAUCUCUUGAUUUUGUUAUUAAGUUGUGAUAGAAUUUUUUGAAGCAUUAAUAAUUGUGAUAAAUUAGUGUACAGUUUACCGAUCCAAUCAAGAUGACUGAGAAAUCCAAUGUCGUUGUUCUAAAUAAAAUCGACCUGGAAUGCAUUUCCUUGGAUUUUGAGUCCUCCAAUGGAACUCCGUCGGGGUCUCAUCUGAAGGGAGGCAGGCCCUCGUUAAACGAAUCCACCUUUCCUGAAGCCUUUAUUUUUAAGUUUAUAUCUAGAUUGUAUUUGUAAUCAAGGGAUAACCUGUCUGUAGAGCUCUGGAAAUCUGUGAUGAAGUUGUUUGCUUAAGUGGACAACUCCAUUGCGGUCUUUUUCAGUGAGAAAUUGUUAUUUGCUAGGAGACUUGAUUAAAAAUUAGUUAAUAUAUGAUAGACCUAAAUACAUUCUUAGUCUAUAGUUAAUUAGUAUAACCAUCACACCGUCUGACUUGCUCAUAAAUAUAUUGCUUUAUUUUACUUUUGAUCCAUCCAUUAGUCCUAUGCUUCUCCACUAGUGCACUCACUUUUUAGGACUGCGUUUUGCCUAUCAUUCUAAUAAUUCCUCUGCUUACUGCAUCAGACAUCAUUCUAUAUUUAUCUGAAUCGUCUUACACCAAAGGUGUCUUGUGACUAUCUAUCUUAAUUUGUACUAUGUCUAUAUGGCUAUAUAUGGCGUCUAUGCCAGAUUUGACUUUUGUGGUCUCGGUGAUCCAAAACUCUUAGUUGAUUCAACCACUUUUGAUAUAUUUACAGGGUUGGAAAUUUUAAUGUAAGUAAGCAUAUUUUUUAGUAAGUGACUACAAGUAUGUGUAAUCAAUUUUCUAUCAGUUUUUUUGUACUUGCAUCACCUAUCAAGAGGGGCCAAAAGAUAUCUAUGUUCACCAAUAGUCCAUGGUCCUAGGGUGUUGUGAAGAAAUCAUUUACGAAGAAGAGUAGAAAAGCUUAUGCAACUUAUUUUUAGUAUGUAGCUUGUCUUUUAUCAUUAUAUAUUUGCAGAUGAGUUUUUCACAGCACGGUGCACAAGAUUGAUGAUUGAGUACUCAUGAUGGUUAUGAGCAUUUCCUAUACAAGGUAUAUUGCAGGUCAAACCUGUAGCUGUUAUUACUGAACUCUACUUGUGAUACUCAUCGUCGAUUUCACUUAUAUGCACAUACUUCUAGAUACUUGAAUUAAUUUUAGACUGCAUGUUAUUACCUUACUACUUGUUGUAGGAUAAAUAAUAAGGAGGAGGGCAUCAAGGUUAUAAUACGACCAUACUGUAUGACUCACGUCCCCAGCAGCAUGGGUAUGUCUUUUAUCUGCAGUUCUCCAAAAGUGCUAUUGUGAGCUCGAGCUCAUAUGCUCUCGGAUGAACAGUAAAAUCCGAAAAAAUAGUAAAACAACUAAAAAAAUCUAAAAUUUUGUGACAAGAAACAUUGAUGUUUUUCCUACAUGCAUGCAAAAAUUCAUAACGGAAUCACAUUCCUGGAGGCUUAGACAAAAAAAACAAAUUGAUUUUCCAAAAUGCUUCCAAAAACACUAUUUUUGAAUCAUUGAUUUUGUUUUUUUCCCAUGCCUCCACAAAUGUGAUUUCACCAUGAAAUUUUGCACACAUAUAGAAAAAACAUCAAUGUUUCAUGCCCACAAAUUUCAGAUUUUUUUUGAUUUUUUACUAUAUUUACUGAUUUUAUUGUUCAUGCGGGAGUAUAUGAGCUACUAUUUCCAAUGGUAAAAGUUAUGUUUUUCCAUUUCUUGAUUUACUUAUACAAUAUUUCGGUUGCAACGGUGAAGGUGGUUGUUUCUUUCCUUUGUUCUUUUCAGAACAUAAAGAUGAAGUAAUGGCAGAACUCCUCCGGUUGGAUCCUAUCCUCAUGCUCAUGAUGAAUUCAAGAAGCAUUUAGUCCAUUGAAGAUAGAAGCAACAAGUAUAGUUUAUGUCGAUGGAUGUAAAAAUGUAAUAUUUUCCAAAUUAGUGUUUCUUAACCAUUUGAAAUGUUAGGAAUACUACUCAAUGAUUUGAAGAUAUUUACAUUAAUUUUAAUGCAAUGUAAUUACGCUAUGAUCGGUACAAUCCUAAACUUUUGCAUAUUUGUAAUAAAUAUCUUGAAAUUUUCAAUUUGUGUAUGUGUUGUGCUUCAGUUUCUCUAUCAUUUUAAUAAUGACAAGAAUCAUAAUUAAACAAUUAAUUAUUUGAGCAAGUGUGGUAAUUUUAUUGAAUAAUUUUUUAUUCAAUAAAAUAUGUACCCAAUUUUGUGCUUAAUAAAAAUUAAAUAUAUUAAUUAUGUUGUGAUGCUAAUAUACUAGUGUUACUGAUGGAGUUACUAGAGUUACAAACUGUGUUACUAGGGCAUUGACAACUAUACCUUAUAGUGUUACAAUAUUUGGAUAUUAUGUUACUAGUUUAGUUUCGAAGCUAAAAAAUGUGUUACGAAUUGUGUUACUGUAGUUACAAAAAUAUGUUACCAUCAAUAUUCUAGGUCUAGAUAGGUAUGUUACUAUAGGUGUUACUGUAGCUACAAUAAAAUGUUACCGUACUGUUGACUAACACAUAAUAUGCAUGUUACUACAACAUAACAAUAACACAAUAUUUAAAAUGUGGUAACAAUUAUUAUGUGUGACAGUGCAUACCUGUUAGUAACACGGUCUAAUGGAACAUAUUUCAAAAUGUGUUACUACAUGCCGUAGUAACACAUUUUUGGGCAUGUAGUAACAUAACACGGUGUUACUAAAGCUCUGUCCUGUUGUAGUGUAUAUUAACAGAGGUGGGGGCCGGGGCACGGGAUACGAAGUUCGCCGCAACCACUUUUUCCACCUAUACGCCCUACCGAUCUAGGGUAAACGCGGUGCUCACGGAAAGCUCCACCGCCGCCACAUCCUUCUCUGUCAUCAUUGCCGUCACCACCUCACCGAUGAAGGCCGGCGGGACUUCCUCGAGUGCAGGACAAGGUAAAACCCUUUACUCCUAGCGGACUCAUCUAGCCUAGCAGAUCUAAGGAUCUAACAGUUCAUUGUUACAAGAUUAUUCAUCUACUGUAUACAUUGCGUAUAUCAACUUGAUGCAAGGAAGAAGAACUUAGAAACGAAUGAAUGCACAUGCAUGGAAAUUUGCACAUGACAUAGCUUAUUUUCUUGGUCAGACAAGGUGUCCAGUUCGAUCUCGACAUCUGGUGCACGUAGACGAAGCACACGUACAUGUAGCACGCACGCCAGUCUAACAGACCUUUCACUGCGGCGUAUGAGAAACGGUGGAAGUAUAUAUACAAAGAAAUGUUGACGGAUCCCCUAAAAAAAAUGUUGACGGACACAUGUUGGCGACUCAACCGCUAAACGUCUCACACGUGCAGCUUCAAUUGAUUUGUCAAGAGCUAGUGUUUGUUCAAAGCAUUCGCUGUCGAGCCGUGCUUCUCUGCCACCCGGAGCAUGGCACCAGAUUCCAGCGUGACCGAACAGAGAGAGAGAGGACAAAAUAUUGUAGUAACACGACUCACAUUCCACAGUGCUCUAUACCAACCAAUUAACGAUCCACACAUCUAGACUUGACCAUGCCUGCUCCGGCGAUAAACGAGACUAUUUUGAUUUGAUUGUUUGUUCGAAGUCUUCAUUCAAUCGUUCCCGGACAGCCAAUAGCGAAGCUCGUGUUUCUAGACUCUUAACACGAUCGUUGGUGUAUGUCACUGCGUCAUUUGCGGCCGGUUCACCGAUGGCGACCUGUACGCUUUGGACAAGACCGAAACGGACGUGGAAUUUGCCCUAUCCCAUCAGGCGCACGCACAGCGGCGCACUUGGCAACCGGUCCGGUAGGAUGCGCGCUCUACGGUGUCUUUGUGUCUCGAGAAUCAACUAAAGAGCAUCUACAGCCGGGUCUUGCAAAUUCACUCCCUUAAACGAAUACUGACCGGUCACAUAUAUCAAAUAAUGCAUUUUACAUCCGGAUACCUUAAAUUAAAACCUCAAAUCCAUACUAUUAUAUGCAACGUAAACCUAAUACAACGGAGCUCGCCCGGCUCCGUCGUAAUCAUGUCCGGCGGCUAGCUGCGCCCUUCAUAGUGUCGGUCCGGCUGCGGGCGAGGUAAAGUAGGACAUGUGACAGUAACCGGCUCGUUGGAGUCGAGCUCCCGCCGCCUCCCAUGCCCUACUCUUCCUCGUCGGAUCCCGUAACCCUGAUGGUUGCAGUCGACAUGAGGUUGAUGACGGAUCCUUCCUGGGAGGAGUCGAAGCCCACCACGACGCGGAUGUGUCGCCUGCACUGGUGCACCCUACGGGGCGUCGGAGAGUGUGACUCCACCUCUCCAACAUCCACCAUCACGAGGGCCUCUGCCGCAUCCCGUGCCCGUUGCCUCGCCCGGCAGGCACGCCGCGUCAUGACAUCAUCCGAGGACGGCCAUGCUUCAUGCUCGGCGCAUCAACGGAGGGGUUGCGCUUCCGCCACGGCGAUCGGACGUCACACGGACCGCACCAUAUCCCGCGAGGCAGCAACGCCAGGUCCAAGCAUCGGUUGUGCGGAUGCAAUGAAUUCCUGGCGUUGCGAGUCCGAGAGCUGCCGUCGUGCGGCCACCUCCGGGGAGGGGAGGAGCGCGAGUCGGACAUCCAUCUCCUCCUCGAGGCCACGUGGAACGAGCUCGUGGUCGAUGGAUCUGGAGGUGAAGGACUCUGAUCCGCUGCCCGCCAUGCCGGAGGUGAGCUUCGGUGGCGGAUGGGAGUGGAGUGAAAUGGCUAGGGUUUGAUCCUGCAAGCGGAUGGGGACAAAUAUAUGUGGGGUAGAUGCGGGCCAGUGUGGGCCAAACAGACGUGCCCGGGCACGCCCGGGCUCCCCAUAUCCACCCCACAUUUGGGCUGGAAAUGAAGGGUGCCGGUCAACGUGGGCGUAUGUGUAUGAUCGAAAGUAUAUCUAGAGCGGGGGNNNNNNNNNNNNNNNNNNNNNNNNNNNNNNNNNNNNNNNNNNNNNNNNNNNNNNNNNNNNNNNNNNNNNNNNNNNNNNNNNNNNNNNNNNNNNNNNNNNNNNNNNNNNNNNNNNNNNNNNNNNNNNNNNNNNNNNNNNNNNNNNNNNNNNNNNNNNNNNNNNNNNNNNNNNNNNNNNNNNNNNNNNNNNNNNNNNNNNNNNNNNNNNNNNNNNNNNNNNNNNNNNNNNNNNNNNNNNNNNNNNNNNNUACACCCUACACAUGCACAUUUAAGAGUAUAGGAGCGGAAAGUAAAACAUGCAAGUAUAAAGUAGAGGGUAAGGUAGGGAGAUCAAACGCAAAGGUUGACACGACGAUUUUUGGCAUGGUUCCGAUAGGUGAUGCUAUCGUACGUCCAUGUUANAAGCAACUUGGGGAGGCCAGAAAUCAAGGUUCAAAUGGUUGGAAUGGAAUCUAUUGAUCUCAACACAUGAGUGGGUGCCUCUUUCUUAGAAAAAUGGAUCUGGCAAGUGUAACUGUGUUCUGAGUGCUUCCUCUACAAAUUAGAGGCGAUGGAGGGGUAUAUAUAGGCAUCCCCCAAAAUCCAACCGUUACAACAUUGUUGCCCAACUCGGUGACACCAAAAAGAAUCUCAGUGGUACCGAGUUGCACUACAUGUCCCAACUUUUGAAUUCUUGAUGAGACCGAUAUAUGAAUCUCGAUGGUACCGAUACGAUGACCUAGACCAGUUUCCAAAUCUCGGUGAGACCGUUUUUGAACUCGGAAAUUCUGAUUCUUGAAAUCUUCUCAAUAGAAAGUUGGUCACUGAAUCUCGGUGGCACCGAUAGGAAUGUUGGUGGUACCGAGAUGGUAGGGUUUGGCAUAGGAUCUGUCAAGUGUAAAAUCGAUAGGGCCGAGUGGAAAUUGUUGUUGGCACCGAUUUUGCUGGUUUGGCUUUGGACAGAGAUAUUUUGUGGGAGAAUAACUAAGUAUUUUUUGGUGGCUACCUCUAAGCACUUGAGCAACCAAUUCAUCAUAAUACCUCAUCCCCUUUUAAUAGUAUUUUGUGCGAGCAACCAUUUCAUCAUAAUGCCUCCCCAAGUUGCUUNNNNNNNNNNNNNNNNNNNNNNNNNNNNNNNNNNNNNNNNNNNNNNNNNNNNNNNNNNNNNNNNNNNNNNNNNNNNNNNNNNNNNNNNNNNNNNNNNNNNNNNNNNNNNNNNNNNNNNNNNNNNNNNNNNNNNNNNNNNNNNNNNNNNNNNNNNNNNNNNNNNNNNNNNNNNNNNNUGAGAGAGUGAUUGAGUGCUGAGGAGACUAUGUUUUGAAGCACAAGAGCAAGGAUUUCAUCAUCCAUACCACAUCUAUUACCUUUUGGGGAGUGGUGUCUCCUAGGUUUGUUAGGUGUCACUUGGGAGCCUCCAAAUCGUGUGGAGUUGAACAAAGAAGUUUGUAAGGGCAAGGAGAUCAUCUACUUCGUGAAGAUUCACCCUGAGUGAGGCUAGUCCUUCGUGGUCGUAAGCCAUCGUGGAAUAUACAAGGUUUGUUCUACAUGGACCCUUCGUGGGUGACCUCCAUGGACUCGUGUAGCCAUUAUCCUCCAUGGGUUGAUGUCUCCAUCAACGUGGACGUACAAUAGCACCACCUAUCGAAACCACGCCAAAAAUCUCCAUGUCAUCUUUCCGUUUGAUCUUCCUAUUUCUACUCCUUACUUACAUGUGCAUGUCUUUACUUUCCACUGCUAUAUAUACUUGUUGACUUGCAUGUGUAGGGUGUACUAGACUUUUCAGAAUUGCAAAGACUUGUCAACCAAUAAAACUGGGAAAAGGUUAGGUUUUUAUUUUUCCAAGUAGUCCAUUUGCCCGCCCUUUAGACGUCCCUUCUCAAUCCAACAAUUGGUAUCAGAGCUUGGGUAUCCAUAGCUUUGGUUUCAUCUCCUUUGGAGGAAGAUGGAUGUGCGUAUUUUGGGGAAUCAUAGUUGUAGAGUGCAUAUUCUCAUUGAGGAGUACUAUAGUCAAUGUAAAAACAAAAUGCUUGAUCUAUUUGAUGAAUUGCAUUUGAGCAAGUAUGUUGAUAGUCCCUAUGUGCCUCCCAUUGACCCCUUACAUCGUUCACACGAGGAUGAAAUUUAUAUGCUUCAUAACCUUAGAACCAUCAAUCUUAUCAUUAGAGGACUGCGAAAGGAUCAUGUGUGAUCAAAUGAAUAACUUUGAGUGUGAUUAUACUUUGUGGAAAGAUUUGGAGAAAAGACAUCCAAAUUACCCUUUGAAUUUAUUUGAUGUCAUUCUCCAUAAAACUAUUGCUUUCCACCAAUUGAAGCCUAGGGAUUCUAACUUCGAUAAAUACUUGUUUGAGCUUCGUGAUCUCAAGUGCGUUAAACGAGAUGUCAUAACCAUCAAUAACAUUAUUGUUGAAGCUAUUCGUAUUCAUAAUCUUGAACAUUGCCAUGAUCAAAAUUGUAACGACUCUCUUGAUUUUUGUGAUGAGUAUAUUUCAUUUGAUGAUGAUAAUGUGGAACAUGGCUACUAUGAUGAAGAUGAGAAAUUUUACAUUGCAUGUGAGAAGCCUAUGAAGAAUCUAAGUCUUAUGGCAAACUUCAAAGAAUACAUGUCUGGAGGAAAAGAGUGGAUUCUUGAUAGUGGACGCACCGAUCACAUGACCGGAUAUAGAGACAUAUUUUACGAUAUCACACCAAACAAUGGACCAUGCAGGUAUAUGACCUUCGGAGACAACUCCAAGGGUAAGGUACUUGGUCUUGGUAACGUGUCCAUAUCUCAUGAUAUUUCUAUUCAAAAUAUCAUGCUUGUUGAAUCCCUUGUCUACAAUCUUCUUUCCGUAUCUAGACUAGCCGAUUUUAGUUUCAAUGUGAUAUUCAUUAAAUUAGAUUGCCAAGUGUUUCGUCAAGACAAUCAUAAGAUGGUUUACCGGUUUCUGUAGAGGUGAUAUAUACAUUAUCAAUUUCACUAAGAGUGUCCAACCUUGUACUUGUCUUAUUACAAAAUAUUCUAAAGGUUGGCUAUGGCACAGAAGGCUAGGACAUGUUGGUAUGCAUAAUCUAGACAAGCUUAUCAAAGCUGAUCGUAUACUUGGUGUUAAAUAGGUUAUCUUUGAAAAAUAUAGACUCUGUAGUGCUUAUCAAGCAGGAAAACAACUGGGUGGAAGUCACUCGGUAAAGAACAUCAUGACUACUAGGACACCACUCGUGUUGCUUCACAUGGAUCUCUUUGGUCCCAAUGCUUACAAGAGCCUUAGUGGAAAUUCCUUUGGUCUAGUUAUAGUUGAUAAUUUUUCCAGAUUUAUGUGGGUAUUCUUUCUUGAUGACAAGUUGCAGAUACAAAAGAUCUUCAUGAACUUCGUUCACAAAUGUUGGGGAACGUAGUAAUUUCAAAAAAAUUCCUACGUCAUGCAAGGAUCUAUCUAUGGAGAAACCAGCAAUGAGAAAAGGGGUACACCAUCUCCAUAACUUUGAAGAUCGCUAAGCGGAAGCCUUGCUAGAACAUGGUUGAUGGAGUCGCACUCGCAGCGGUUCGGAUCACGGUGGAUUCCGAUCUAUGCACUGAACGUCGGCGCCUCCGCGUUCAACACACGUGCAGCCCGGUGAAGUCUCCAACACCUUGAUCCAGCAAGGAGGGAGGAGAGGUUGAGGCAGAGCUCCGACAGCACGACGACAUGGUGACGAUGGAGCUAUGUGGUACUCCGACAGGGCUUCGCUAGGCACUAUGGAGGAGGAGGAGGAGGAAGGGGUGUAGGGCUGCGCUGAGAGAGAGGCAAUUAUUGUCUCAAAUCUGCCCAAAACCACCACUAUAUAUAGGAGGAGAGGGAGGAGGUUCCCACCCUAAAGGGUGCAGAAGCCCUAGAGUCCAAGGAGGGCGGCGGUCAAGGGUGGAGGGCCCUAGGGUGGGCCUUUGAGGCCCAAGGUGGCCUCCCAUGCCUAGGGUUUCCCCUCUCUCCACCCCUUGUGUGCCUUCGGCUGGUUGUGGAGGCGCACCAGCCCAUAUAUGGGCUGGUUCCCACCCACACUUAGCCCAUGUAGCAACUUGGGGCUCGUGGCCAUUUCCGGUGGACCCCCGGAACCCUUCCGGUGGUCCCUGUACAUUGUAGGUGUUGCGCGAAACAUUUUAUGUGACCAAAUCCUCACUUCGUAUAUCAAUCUUUACCUCUGGACCAUUCCGGAACUCCUCGUGGCGUUUGGGAUCUCAUUCGGGACUCCAAACAACCUUCGGUAACCACAUACACUAUUUCCCUAUAACCCUAGCGUCAUCGAACCUUAAGUGUGUAGACCCUACAGGUUUGGGACACAUGCAGACAUGACUGAGACACCUCUCCGAUCAAUAACCAACAACGGGGUUUGGAUAUCCAUGUUGGUUCCCACAUGUUCCACGAUGAUCUCAUCGGAUGAACCACGAUGUCGGGGAUUCAAUCAAUCCCGUAUGCAAUUCCCUUUGUCUACGGGUAUGAUACUCUCCCGAGAUUCGAUCGUCGAUAUCCCUAUACCUUGUUCGAUCUCAUUUCCGGCAAGUCUCUUUACUCGUUCCGUAACACAUCAUCCCAUGACUAACUCCUUAGUCACACUGAGCUCAAUAUGAUGAUGGAUUACCGAGUGGGCCCACAGAUACCUCUCCGUCACGCGGAGACAAACCCCAGUCUCGAUUUUUACAACCCAACAGACACUUAAGGAGAUACCUUUAGUGCAUCUUUAUAGUCACCCAGUUACGUUGUGACAUUUCAUACACCCAAAGCACUCCUACGACAUCUGGGAGUUGCACAAUCUCAUGGUCUAAGGAAAUGAUACUUGACAUUAGAAAAACUUUAGCAGACGAACAACACGAUCUAGUGCUAUGCUUAGGAUUGGGUCUUGUCCAUCACAUCAUUCCCGAAUGAUGUGAUCCCGUUAUCAAUGACAUCCAAUGUCCACGAUCAGGAAACCAUGAUCAUCUAUUGAUCAGCGAGCUAGCCAACUAGAGGCUCACUAGGGACACAUUAUGAUCUAUGUACUCACACAUGUAUUACAGUAUCCAGUUAAUGCAAUUAUAACAUGAAUAAUAACAAUUAUCAUGAACCAGGAAAUAUAAUAAUAACCACUUUAUUAUUGCCUCUAGGGCAUAUUUCUAACAAUCUCCCACUUGCAGUAGAGUCAAUAAUCUAGUUACAUUGUGAUGAAUCGAACACCCAUAGAGUUCUGGUGCUGAUCAUGUUUCGCUCGUGGAAGAUGUUUAGUCAACGGGUCUGCGACAUUCAGAUCCAUGUAUACUCUACAAAUAUCUAUAUCUCCAUCCUAAAUGUAUCCACGAAUGGAUUUGAAGCGGCGCUUGAUGUGCUUGGUCAUCUUGUGAAAUCUGGGCUCCUUUGCAAUGGCAAUAGCUCCAGUGUUGUCAUAGAACAGAGUCUUCGGGCCCGACACACUUGGAAUCACUCCUAGGUCGGUGAUGAACUCCUUCAUCGAGACUCCUUCCUGUGCUGCUUCGAAAGCAGCUAUGUACUACGCUUCACAUGUGGAUGUCGCCACGAUGCUUUGCUUGCAACUGCACUAGCUAACUGCCCCAUUAUUCAAAAUGUACACGUAUCCGGUUUCUGACCUGGAGUCAUCGAGAUCUAUGUUGAAGCUAGCAUCGAUGUAACCCUUUACGACGAGCUCUUCGGCACCUCCAUAAACGAGAAACAUACCUUUAGUCCUUUUCAGGUACUUAAGGAUGUUCUUGACCGCUGUCCAGUGAUCCACUCCUGGAUCACUCUGGUACCUCCCUACCGAACUUAUGGCAAGGUUCACAUCAGGCCUGGUACAUAGCAUGGGAUACAUGAUAGAGCCUAUGGCUGAAGCAUAGGGGAUGGUACUCAUCUUUUCUCUAUCUUCCACCGUGGUCGGGCGUUGAGUCGUACUCAACCUCACACCUUGUAAUACACGCAAGAACCCCUUCUUAGCCUUAUCCAUAUUGAACUUCUUCAAUAUCUUGUCAAGGUAUGUGCUUUGUGAAAGACCUAUGAGGUGUCUCGAUCUAUCUCUAUAGAUCUUGAUGCCUAAUAUGUAAGCAGCUUCUCCCAGGUCAUUCAUUGAAAAACUCAUAUUCAAAUGGGCCUUGAUGCUUUCCAAUAGUUCUAUAUCAUUUCCCAUCCACAAUAUGUCAUCCACAUAUAAUAAAUGCUACAGAGCUCCCACUCACUUUCUUGUAAAUACAGGCUUCUCCAUAAGUCUAUACAAACCCAAACGCUUUGAUCACCUCAUCAAAGAGAAUAUUCCAACUCCGAGAUGCUUGCACCAGCCCAUAGAUGGAGCGUUGGAGCUUUCAUACCUUGUUAGCAUUGCUAGGAUCAACAAAACCUUUCGGCUGUAUCAUAUACAAUUCUUCCUUAAGGAAACCGUUAAGGAACGCCGUUUUGACAUCCAUCUGCCAGAUUUCAUAAUCGAAAAAUGCAGCUAUUGCUAACAUGAUUCNNNNNNNNNNNNNNNNNNNNNNNNNNNNNNNNNNNNNNNNNNNNNNNNNNNNNNNNNNNNNNNNNNNNNNNNNNNNNGCCGUUUUGACAUCCAUUUUCCAGAUCUCAUAAUCAUAAAAUGCGACAAUUUCUAACAUGAUUCAGACCGACUUCAGCAUCGCUAUGGGUGAGAAGGUCUCAUCGUAGUCAAUCCCUUGAACUUGUCGAUAACCCUUAGCGACAAGUCGAGCCUUAUAGAUGGUCACAUUACCAUCUGUGUCAGUCUUCUUAAAAAUCCAUUUAUUUUCUAUNNNNNNNNNNNNNNNNNNNNNNNNNNNNNNNNNNNNNNNNNNNNNNNNNNNNNNNNNNNNNNNNNNNNNNNNNNNNNNNNNNNNNNNNNNNNNNNNNNNNNNNNNNNNNNNNNNNNNNNNNNNNNNNNNNNNNNNNNNNNNNNNNNNNNNNNNNNNNNNNNNNNNNNAAAGUCCAUACUUUGUUCUCAUACAUGGAUUCUAUCUCAGAUUUCAUGGCCUCAAGCCAUUUGUUGGAAUCCGGCCCCGCCAUCGAUUCUUCAUAGUUUGAAGGUUCACUGUUGUCCAACAACAUGAUUUCCAUGACAGGGUUUCCGUACCACUAUGGUAUGGAUCAUACCCUUGUCGACCUUCGAGGUUCAAUAGCAACUUGAUCCGAAGUUUCAUGAUCAUCAUCAUUAACUUCAUCUUUAGCCGGUGCAGGCGACUGACAAACAUUUUCUUGUGUUGCGCCACUCUCCGGUUCGAGAGGAGGUACAGUUACCUCAUCAAAUUCUAUUUUCCUCCCACUUCUUUCAAGAGAAACUCUUUCUCUAGAAAAGGAUCCGUUCUUGGCUACAAAGAUUUUGCCUUCGGAUCUAAGAUAGAAGGUGUACCCAAUAGUUUCCCUAGGGUAUCCUAUGAAGACACAUUUUUCCGCUUUGGGUUCGAGCUUCUCUGGUUCAAGUUUCUUCACAUAAUCAUAGGCCCCAACUUUCAGAAACGACAUCUUAGAUUUCUUGCCAAACCAUAAUUCAUACGGUGUCAUCUCAACGGAUUUAGACGGUGCCCUAUUUAAAAUGAAUGCGGCGGUUUCCAAUGCAUAUCCCCAAAAUGAUAGUGGUAAAUUGGUAAGGGACAUCAUAGAUUGCACCAUAUCCAAUAAAGUGCGAUUAUGACGUUCAGACACACCGUUACGCUGCGGUGUGCCAGGCGGCGUGAGCUGUGAAACAAUUCCAUAUUUCCUUAGGUGUGUGCCAAACUCGUGACUCAAAUAUUCUCCUCCAUGAUCAGAUCGUAGAAACUUUAUUUUCUUGUCAUGUUGAUUCUCCACCUCACUCUGAAAUUCCUUGAAAUUUUCAGAGGUUUCAGACUUGUGCUUCAUUAAGUAGACAUACCCAUAUCUACUCAAAUCAUUACUGAGGGUGAGAACAUAACGAUAGCCUCCACGAGCUUCCAUGCUCAUUGGACCGCAUACAUCGGUAUGUAUUAUUUCCAAUAAGUUGGUUGCUUGCUCCAUUAUUUCGGAGAAUGGUGUCUUGGUCAUUUUGCCCAUGAGGCAUGGCUCGCAUGUGUCAAAUGAUUCAAAAUCAAGAGACUCCAAAAGUCCAUCAGUAUGGAGUUCCUUCAUGCGCUUUACGCCGAUAUGACCAAGGUGGCAGUGCCACAAGUAUGUGGGACUAUCAUUAUCAACCUUACAUAUGUGGAUCUUCACGAUCGAGAUUCAUCAGGAAUAGACCAUUUACCACCGGUGCAUGACCAUAAAACAUACCACUCAUAUAAAUAGAACAACCAAUAUUCUCAAAUUUCAAUGAGUAGCCAUCUUGCAUCAAGCGAGAUCCUGAUACAAUGUUCAUGCUUAAAGCUGGUACUAAAUAACAAUUAUUAAGGUUUAUAACUAAACCCGAAGGUAGAUGUAGAGGUAGCGUGCCGACAGCGAUCACAUCGGCCUCGAAACCAUUCCCGACACGCAUCGUCACCUAGUCCUUAGCCAGCUUACGCUUACUCUGCUGUUCCUGCUUAGAGUUGCAAAUGUGAGCAACAACACCGGUAUCAAAUACCCAGGAGCUACUACGAGCGCUCGUAAGGUACACAUCAAUAACAAGUAUAUCACAUAUACCUUUGACGUUGUCGGCCUUCUUGUCCGCUGAGUACUUGGGGCAAUUCCGCUUCCAGUGACCGGUUCCCUGGUAGUAAUAACACUCAGUCUCAGGCUUGGGUCCUUUCUUUGACUUAUUCCCGGCAACUGGCUUACCGGGAGCAAAAACUGCUUUGCCGUCUUUCUUGAAGCUUUUCUUACCCUUGCCCUUCUUGAAACUAGUGGUCUUAUUGACCAUCAACACUUGAUGCUCUUUCUUGAUUUCUACCUCCGCAAAUUUCAGCAUUGAAUACAACUCGGGAAUAGUCUUUUUCAUCCCUUGGAUGUUGUAAUUCAUCACAAAGCCUUUAUAGCUAGGUGGAAGCGACUGGAGGAUUCUGUCAAUGACCGCAUCAUCCGAAGGUUCAACUCCCAGCUGAGUCAAGCGGUUGUGCAACCCAGACAUUCUGAGUAUAUGCUCACUAACAGAACUAUUCUCCUCCGUCUAACAACUAAAGAACUUGUCAGAGACUUCAUAUCUCUCAACCCAGGCAUGAGCUUGAAAAACAAGUUUCAGCUCCUCGAACAUCUCAUAUGCUCCGUGUUGCUCAAAACGCCUUUGGAGCCCCGGCUCUAAACUGUAAAGCAUGCCGCACUGAACCAGAGAGUAGUCAUCACUCCGCGGCUGCCAGGCAUUCCUAACGUCCUGGUGAUAACCCAGAAGUAUAGGGGAUCACAACAGUUUUCUAGGGGAGAGUAUUCAACCCAAAUUUAUUGAUUCAACACAAGGGGAGCCAAAGAAUACUCUCGAGUAUUAGCAGUUGAGUUGUCAAUUCAACCACACCUGAAAGACUUAGUAUCUGCAGCAAAGUUUUAGUAGCAAAGUAGUAUGAUAGUAACAGUAGCGGUGGUAACAGAAGCAGUAGUAAUUUGUAUAGCAAGUGUGACAGCAGUAGUGGUAAAGUAACUUAGCAAGGACCAUUAUAGGAAAAGCUCGUAGGCAUUGGAUCGGUGAUGGAUAAUUAUGUUGGAUGACAUUCAUCAUGUAACAGUUAUAACAUAGGGUGAUAUGUAACUAGCUCCAGUUCGUCAAUGUAGUGUAGGCAUGUAUUCCGUAUUUAGUCAUAUGUGCUUAUGGAAAAGAACUUGCAUGACAUCUUUUGUCCAUCCCUCCCGUGGCAGCGGGGUCCUAGCGGAAACUAAGGGAUAUUAAGGUCUCCUUUUAAUAGAGAACCGGAACAAAGCAUUAGCACAUAGUGAAUACAUGAACUCCUCAUACUAUGGUCAUCUCCGGGAGUGGUUCCGGCUAUUGUCACUCCAGGGUUGCCGGGUCAUAACACAUAGUAGGUGACUACAACUUGCAAGAUAGGAUCAAGAACACAUAUAUAUUGAUGAAAACAUAAUAGGUUCAGAUCUUAAAUCAUGGCACUCGGGCCCUAGUGACAAGCAUUAAGCAUAGCAAAGUAGUAGCAACAUCAAUCUUAGAACAUAGUGGAUACUAGGGAUCAAACCCCAUCAAAACUAACUCGAUUAGAUGAUAGAUCUCAUCCAACCCAUCACCGUCGAGCAAGCCUACGAUGAGAUUACUCACGAACGAUGGAGAGCAUCAUGGAAUUGGCAAUGGAGGAUGGUUGAUGAUGACGACAAAGUCGAUUUCCCCUCUCCGGAGCCUAGAACGGACUCCAGAUCUGCCCUCGUGAGGAAGAACAGGAGGUGGCGGCUGCUCCGUAUCGUGAAUUGCGAUGAAAUCUUCUCUCCUAAUUUUUCUUGGGCGAGAGAGAAUAUAUAGAGUUGGAGAUGGAGGCUACGGAGCUACGUGGGCCCCACGAGCCUGCCAGGAGCGCCCUAGGGGGGGCGCCUCCUAGGCUCGUGGGCCCGUGGCUCCGUAUCUUCGGGCAAUUCUUGCGCCAGUAUUUUUUAUAUAUUCCACCAAAAAUCCUCGUAAGUGUCCAGGUCAUUCCGAGAACUUUUAUUUCUGCACAAAAACAACACCAUGGCAAUUCUGGUGAAAAUAGCAUCAGUCCGGGUUAGUUCCAUUCAAAUCAUGCAAAUUAGAGUCCAAAACAUGGGCAAAAGAGUUUGGAAAAGUAGAUACGAUGGAGACGUAUCAACUCCCCCAAGCUUAAAGCCUUUCUUGUCCUCAAGCAAUUUAGUUGACAAACUGAAAGAGACAAAAGAAAAACUUUUACGAACUCUGUUUGAUCUUGUUGUUGUAAUUAUGUCUAACUCAUAUUCGGAUUUUUAGCAAGAUCAUAAGAUAACCACAUAAGCAAUAACAUUUAGGUCUCAAGGUGUACUCAUAUCAAUGGCAUAAUCAACUAGCGAGCAAUAAUAAUAAGUUUCAAACAUCAACAUUUCAAUCAAAACAAUCAUGAUACAAUAUGAACAUACGGUAUCUCGCUAGCCCUUUCUGAGACCGCAAAACAUAAACGCAGAGCACCUUCAAAGACCAAGGGUUGACUGAACAUUGUAAUUCAUGGCAAAGAAGAUCCAGUCACAGUCAUACUCAAUAUAAAUUAAUAGCAAAGCAUAAAAAUGACGGAGGUGCUCUCUAAUUGGUGCAUUUUAUAAGAAGAGGAUGACUCAACAGUAAUGUAAAUAGAUAGGCCCUUCGCAGAGGGAAGCAUUGAUUUGCAGAGGUGCCGGAGCUCAAGCUUUUAAAAUAGAGAUAAAUAAUUUUGGGUUGCAUGCUUUCAUCGUCAACACGAUGACCAAGAGUUUUCACCAUCAUCUAUGCUACACAUAUUAUAGGCGGUUCCCAAACAGAAUAGUAAAGUUUUGACUCCCCCACCACCGAUCAAUCACACUCCACGACUAGCCGAAUCCUCGGGUGUCGUCCAUACCAACAACAAUGCAGGGGGAGUUUUGUUUGUAAUUAUAUUUUCGAUUUGAUUAGAGCAUGGAACUGGGCAUUCCGAUUACCGAGCCCUUUCUCGUGAGUGAUAGUGAAUAAACACGUAUCGAGGAUAACACGGCUAGCAUGGAAGAUACUGACCGCCCCUUGUCACCACAUGAGCGGUUCGGGCAUACAAAACAGAUUAUUAUUUGAAGAUUUAGAGAGUGGCACAUGCAAAUUUACUUGGAACGGCAGGUAGAUACCACAUAUAGGUAGGUAUGGUGGACUCAUAUGAAACAACUUUGGGUUUAUGGAAGUGGAUGCACAAGCAGUAUUCCCGCUUAGUACAAGUGAAGGCUAGCAAAAGACUGGGAAGCGACCAACUAGAGAGCGACAAUAGUCAUCAAUAUGCAUUGAAAUUGACCAAUGCUGAGUGCAAGCAUGAGUAGGAUAUAAAUCACCAUAAACAUGAAUAUCGUAGAGGCUAUGUUGAUUUUGUUUCAACUACAUGCGUGAACAUGUGCCAAGUCAAGCCACUUGAAUCAUUCAAAGGAGGAUACCAUCCUAUCAUACUACAUCAUAAUCAUCUUGAAAUUCAUGUUGGCAUCCAAGACAAACCAUUAUAAGCUUGUAGCUAAUUAAGCAUGGCAUCAGAAACUAUGAUCUCUUAGUUGUCAUUGCAAACAUGUUUCUCUCAUAAGAAUGUUGAAUUAGGAACGAUGAGCUAGUCAUAUUUAUAAAAACAAAAUAGGUCGAGUUCAUACCAGCUUUUCCAGGCUUAGUCACUUCAUCAUAUAUCGUCAUUAUUGCCUUUCACUUGCACGACCGAAUGAUGUGAAUAAUAAUAAGAGUGUUCGUGCAUUGGACUAAGAUGGAAUCUUCAAGCAAACUCAGAGGAGAAGACAAAGUAAUACAUCCUCUCUCAUAGAUAAACAAUAAUGCAUAUGAGAGCCACUAAUCAUUUUAAUCGUGGUCUUCUACCUUGACCCAAAGGAAAAGAAAGCUAUUUACACGGGAAAGCUCCCAACAAGCAAAAGAAGAAUGGGAAAUCUUUUUGGGUUUUCUUUUUAAUUGCCACUAAGCAAGCUGGAAAGUAAACUUACAACUAUUUUUUUUGUUUUUCUCAUUUUUAAACAAACACACGAGAAGAAAGCAAAAAAAGAAAGAAAUAAACUAGCAUGGAUGAUACAAUCAGAAGUGUGAACACCGACUAUCAAAGUGAAUGUGUGAGCAUGAAUAUAAAGUCAGUGAGAAACACGUACUCCCCCAAGCUUAGGCUUUUGGCCUAAGUUGGUCUACUCCCAAGGAUGGUCCGGGCGAUAACCAAAAUCAUAAUGGGGGUUGUACUGGAACGCGGCAGCUACCGCGUGCAUAGCUGCCUCACGGAGGCGAGCAGCCUUCAGCUCCCUCUCAUACUCCUCUGCCUCUCCUCUGGUUAUGUAAUAUCUUCGUUUUCCCUAAAAGUCAAAGAAGGCAGGAGAAGGAAGGGUAAUAUGGAAAACACACCAUUGGUUAAAUAUUAACCGGUAUAGGAGGGAUUCAUUAUCCCUCUCAAGGAACUCAUAACGUAUCAUAGUGGCGCGAUCAAGGAAAGCUGUAUGGAGCGGGGGAUCUCCUGUGCGGAUGGGUAUUCCAAGAACAUUCGCUAUGCGAGUGGCAUAGAUCCCACCAAAGAAAUCCCCUUCAUUAGCAUUAUUAUUUAGCCUCCUCGCAAUUAUAGCUCCUAUACUGAAACUUCUAUCACCCGUUACUGCGCUUUUAAGAAUACUAAGGUCAGGUGCGCAGAGGUGACUAUGCUCAUGCUUGCCGUUAAUGCAUCUACCUAUGAAGAGGGCAAAAUAAUGUAAGGCAGGAAAAUGAAUGCUCCCCAUGGUAGCCUGCGUAAUAUCUCUAGUUUCUCCAACAGUUAUACUAGAAAUAAAAUCUCUAACCGAAGACUUAGGAGGAUCAUUGGGACUACCCCAAUCAGGUAUCUUUCCUAUUCUAUUAAAAUCCUCUAAAUCCAUAGUAUACGAUUUGUCAUAAUGAUCGAACAGUAUGGAUGUGUCACGACCAACAGAAAAUUUGAAUCUAUGAACAAAAGAGGCAAUGAGUGUAGUAUACUGUUCACAUUUAUUGGAGAUGAAUUCUUCGAGCCCGGCAUUGCGAACAAAUGUAUCAAACUCGUCCUUGAAACCUACAUCAAUCAUGAAUUCAUCGGAAGGCCAUUCACAUGGUUGCACCGGUGCGUUCCUCGGCUGAUAAGGAUCGGGCUCCCGAAUCGCGAGACGGGGACCCCUUUUGCUUGAGGAACCACCAUGAUAGUUUUUCCUGAACAUCUUCCUUUUUCUGAAAUAAUUCUGAAAUUUUUAGUGACUCAUAAUAAAAUUGAACAAAGCUUAACAAAACUCAUAGCAACUACUCCUACAAGUGCCUAGAGGCCAUAUCAUGCAUCAAAACUACUUGGGACCAACUAAAAUUAACAUGCAAAGCUCAAGAACAGGGUAACCAAGGCAGCUAUAAUAUGCAAUGAAUAAAGCACUAGAACAAAAACUAAUUGGACCAAUGGAGGAGUCACAUACCAAGGAACAAUUCCCCAAAACAGUUUGGUGAAUGGGGAUUUGCACGAGGAGAUCGAAAAGUGCAGCAAAAUGAGCAAGAACACGGGUUUGAGCUAUGUAAUGAAUUUUUUUUUUCUGGAGGUAGACGAAGGAGAUGGGUGAUGGAAUAAGUGGAGGGGGCCACGUGGGACCCACGAGCCUGCCAGGCGCGCCCUGGGGGUGGUGGCGGCGCCUCCUGGGCUCGUGGCCCACUAGUGCAUCCCCCUGACUAGUUAUCUAUCUCAGAAAUUUUUAAAUAUUCCAGAAAAAAUCAUACUUGAAUUGUAGGGCAUUUGGAGAACUUUUAUUUUCAGGUCACUUUUCUAUUGAAUGGAAAAAACAGAAAACAAGAAAAUAAAGCUAUAAUUAUUAUUUUUCUACAAAACAACAGAAAGUAAAAGUUGGGAACAGAAGGCUGUGACUUCUAGAUUCAUCCAUCUCCAGGUCAUCAAAAGAAAUUCAUCAAUGAGGUUGAUCAAGUCUCCUUGACAAACUUUUUUUGAAUCACAUAAAACUGGAGAAUUUUCGCAUAAUCACUAGUUUACCUCAAUGGGCAUGUGCAUAUCCCCUAUAAGUAUAUCAUAUUUCAUCUUGACAGUAGGAAUAGGGCAUUCAAAGCUUCCAAUAAUAAUUGAUGAAGAUUUUUCAAUAGCAUUUAUGCAAUGAACUCGAUAUUGUUUCUUCGGAAAGUGCACCGUGUGCUCAUUACCAUUAACAUGGAAAGUGACAUUGCCUUUGUUGCAAUCAAUAACAGCCCCUGCACUGUUUAAAAAGAGUCUUCCAAGGAUCACCGCCAUGGCAUCAUCCUCGGGAAUAUCAAGAAUAACAAAGUCCGUUAAGAUAGUAUCGUUCACAACCACAACAUGCACAUCCUCACAAAUGCCGAUAGGAAAAGCAGUUGAUUUGUCGGCCAUUUGCAAAGACAUUUUAGUAGGUGUCAACUUAUCCAAUUCAAGUCUACGAUAUAAAGAGAAAGGCAUAACACUAACACCGGCCCCAAGAUCACAUAAAGCAGUUCUAACAUAAUUUCCUUUAAUGGAGCAAGGUAUAGUGGGCACUCCGGGAUCACCUAGUUUCUUACGAGUCCCACCCUUGAAAGUGUAAUUAGCAAGCAGGGUGGAAAUCUCAACAUCAGGUAUCUUUCUUUUAUUAGUCACAAUAUCUUCCAUGUACUUAGCAUAAGGAGACGUUUUAAGCAUAUCAGUCAAACGCAUUUGCAAAAAGAGAGGUCUAAUUAUUUUGACAAAGCGCUCAAAAUCCUCAUCAUCCUUUUUCUUGGAUGGUUUGGGAGGAAAGAGCAUGGGUUUCUUAACCCAUGGUUCUCUUUCUUUACCAUGCUUCCUAGCAAUAAAAUCAUUCUUACCAUAUCUCCUAUUCUUAGGUUGUGGGUUAUCAAGAUCAACAUCAGGUUCAAUCUCCACAUCAUUAUCAUUACUAGGUUGAGCAUCAACAUGAACAACAUUAUCAAUAUUAUCACUAGGCUCAUGUUCAUCACUAGAUUGUGUUUCGGCAUCAUAAAUAGAGACAUCAUUUGGAUUCUCGGGUGUAACAGCAACACGUUUGCUAGCAUGCAAGUCUCUAUCAUCUUUCUUUUUCUUCCUAUUACCAGGAUGACUAGGUGCAUCAGUAUUAACUCCUUGAGAAUCUUGUUCAAUUCUCUUAGGAUGGCCCUCAGGAUACAAAGAUUCCUGAGUCAUUCUACCACCUCUAGCGACAACUCUAACAGAAUUAUCAUUCAAUUCAUUAAGCAAGUCAUUUUGAGCCUUAAGUACUUGUUCUACUUGAGUAGUGACCAUAGAAGCAUGUUUGCCAAUAAGAUUAAGAUCAUUAACAUUUCUAUCCACACAAGCACUUAUAUGAUUAAUCAUACGAGCAUUUUGUUGCAGUAGUCUGCUAACAUAAUCAUUAAAGCUUUGUUGUUUGGCAACAAUGUUAUCAAAUUCAUCUAAGCAUAAGCUAGCAGGUUUAUCAUAAGGAAUACCACUAUCAUUGAAUCUACGAAGAGAAUUUACCUCUACUACCUGUGUCGGGUUAUCAAGACCAUGUAUUUCUUCAAUAGGUGGUAUAUUCUUAACAUCUUCAGAUUUAAUACCUUUCUCUUGCAUAGAUUUCUUGGCUUCUUGCAUAUCUUCAGGACUGAGGAAUAGAAUACCUCUUUUCUUCGGAGGUGGUUCCGGAAUAGUCCAAGCAUUAUCAUUGCUCAAGAUAUUAUUCAAUAUAAUUUCAGCUUGUUCCACAAUUCGUUUUGUGAAAACACAACCAACACAACUAUCUAGGUGGUCCCUAGAAGCAUCGGUUAGUCCAUUAUAAAAGAUAUCAAGUAUUUCAUUUUUCUCAAGAGGGUGAUCAAGCAAAGCAUUAAGUAACUGGACAAGCCUCCCCAAGCUUGUGGGAGACUCUCUUCUUCAAUCUGCACAAAGUUAUAUAUAUCGUGCAAGGAAGCUUGUUUCUUAUGGGCAGGAAAAUAUUUCUAAGAGAAGUAGUAAAUCAUAUCGUGGGGACUACGCACACAACGAGGAGCAAGAGAAGUAAACCAAGUUUUAUCAUCACCCUUUAGUGAGAAAGGAAACAACUUAAGGAUAUAGUAAUGGCAAAUUGUUUCCUCAUUCGUGAAUAGGGAGGCUAUAUCAUUCAGUUUAGUAAGAUGUGCUACAACCAUUUCAGAUUCAUAACCAUGAAAAGGAUCAGAUUCAACCAAAGUGAUUAACUCAGGAUCGAGAGAGAAUUCAUAAUCCUUAUCAGUAACAAAGAUGGGUGAAGUAGCAAACCUAGGAUCAUAUUUCCUUCUAGCAUUCAGAGAUUUUUCUUUCCACUUGUGUAAUAAAUUCUCAAGAUCAUAGCUAUCCUUACAAGCAAGAAAGUCUUCAGCUACCUCUCCCUCCAUAACAUAACCCUUAGGUAUAUCAGGCAAUUCAUAUCUAGGAGAGCUAGGUCUAACAGGUGAAAUAGCAGGUUCCAAUUCAAUAAUUUCAUCAGUUUCAAAAGUAUCAUCAGAUUCAGCAGUAACUCUAGCAAUUUGUGCACCAAGAAAUUCACCUAGUGGCAUAUCAUUACCAAGAAAAGCAUCAUCAUAAGCAUCAUGGAUAGCAUAUGUAGCAUCAUCAAGCACAUGCAACAUAUCAGAAUUACUAGUAGGUGGUGGUGUCGCAAAUUUACUCAGAACUGAAGGUGAAUCAAGUGCAGAGCUAGAUGGCAGUUUGCUACUUCUUGAGCUUGCGUUGGUUUUUCCCUUGAAGAGGAAAGGGUGAUGCAGCAAAGUAGCGAUAAGUAUUCCCUCAGUUUGAGAACCAAGGUAUCAAUCCAGUAGGAGUAUCAAGAUGAGGCACCAAUGCACCUGCGCAAAAACAAACAAACUUGCACCCAACGCGAUAAAGGGAUUGUCAAUCCCUUCACGAUUAUUUGCAAGGUGAUAUCUGAAGGUGAAAAGUGCAACAAAGUAUUGUUGGUGUUUUUGUAGAACUGAAUAUAGGAUGUGAAGUAGAGCCGGGGGCCAUAGUGUUCACUAGAGGCUUCUCUCAUGAUAGCAAGUAUUACGGUGGGUGAAAGAAUUACUGUCGAGCAAUUGAUAGAAUCGCGCAAAGUCAUGACGAUAUCUAAGUCAAUGAUCAUACAUAUAGGCAUCACGUCUGAGACAAGUAGACCGAUACUUUCUGCAUCUACUACUAUUAAUCCACACAUCGACCACUAUCCAGCAUGCAUCUAGUGUAUUAAGGUCAUAACAAACAGAGUAACGCCUUAAGCAAGAUGACGUGAUGUAGAGGGAUAAAUUCAUGCAAUAUGAUAUAAACCCCAUCUUUUUACCCUUGAUGGCAACAACACGAUGCGUGCCUCGCUACCCUUUCUGUCACUGGGUGGGGACACCGCACGGUAUGAACCCAAAACCAAGCACUUCUCCCAUUGCAAGAAUUAUAGAUCAAGUUGGCCAAACGAAACCCAUAACUCGAAGAGAAUUACAAGGAUAUGAAAUCAUGCAUAUUAGAAAUCAGAGGAGACUCAAAUAAUAUUCAUAGAUAAUCUGAUCAUAAAUCCACAAUUCAUCGGAUCUCGACAAACACACCGCAAAAGAAAGUUACAUCGGAUAGAUCUCCAUGAAGAUCAUGGAGAACUUUGUAUUGAAGAUCCAAGAGAGAGAAGAAGCCAUCUAGCUACUAGCUAUGGACCCGAAGGUCUGUGGUGAACUACUCACGCAUCAUCGGAGAGGCAAUGGUGUUGAUGAAGAAGCCCUCCGUGUCCGAAUCGCCCUCCGGCAAGGCACCAGAACGGUCCCCAGAUGGGAUCUUGCGGAUAAAAAAGCUUGCGGCGGCGGAAAAGUAUUGUCGUGCCUCUCUUCUUUCGUUUCGGGAUUUUAGAGAAUUUAUAGGAGAAAGAGGUAGGGCAAAGGAGGCACGUGGGUCCCACAAGCCAGCCAGGCGCGCCCCCUAGGCCUAGGGGGCUUGUGACCUCCCACGAGGUCUCCUGCCUUGGUUCUCAAGUCCUCUGCGUAUCUUCUGUUAUGGAAAAAAAAAUCAUCCCGCAAGUUUUAUUCCGUUUGGACUCCAUUUAAUAUUCUUUUCUGAAAAAGGUCAAAAACACGGAAAAAACAGAAAACUGGCACUGGGCACUGAGUUAAUAGGUUAGUCCCAAAAAUGAUAUAAAAUAGCAUAUUCAUGCAUAUAAAACAUCCGAAGUUGAUAAUAUAAUACCAUCGAACAAUAAAAAAUUAUAGAUACGUUGGAGACGUAUCACAGUUCCUUACCUGUCCUCAUAGUUGAGGGCAAGACUUUAGUUUUUGGAUCUCUCGGAUUCCUCAUAGUUUAACAGAUAUAAAUCCCAAGUGACUCAGAGAAUAGAGCUAUGCUCCUCGGCAACGGCGCUAGAAAAAGGUCUUGAUAAUCCACAAGUAUAGGGGAUCGCAACAGUUUUCGAGGGUAGAGUAUUCAACCCAAAUUUAUUGAUUCGACACAAGGGGAGCCAAAGAAUACCCUCGAGUAUUAGCAGUUGAGUUGUCAGUUCAACCACACCUGAAAGACUUAGUAUCUGCAGCAAAGUUUUAGUAGCAAAGUAGUAUGAUAGUAACGGUAGCGGUGGUAACAGUAGCAGUAGUAAUUUGUAUAGCAAGUGUGACAGCAGUAGCGGUAAAGUAACUUAGCAAGGACCAGUAUAGGAAAAGCUCGUAGGCAUUGGAUCAGUGAUGAAUAAUUAUGUUGGAUGACAUUCAUCAUGUAACAGCUAUAACAUAGGGUGAUAUGUAACUAGCUCCAGUUCAUCAAUGUAAUGUAGGCAUGUAUUCCGUAUUUAGUCAUAUGUGCUUAUGGAAAAGAACUUGCAUGACAUCUUUUGUCCAUCCCUCCCGUGGCAGCGGGGUCCUAGCGGAAACUAAGGGAUAUUAAGGUCUCCUUUUAAUAUAGAACUGGAAUAAAGCAUUAGCACAUAGUGAAUACAUGAACUCCUCAUACUAUGGUCAUCUCCGGGAGUGGUUCCGGCUAUUGUCACUCCGGGGUUGCCGGGUCAUAACACAUAGUAGGUGACUACAACUUGCAAGAUAGGAUCAAGAACACAUAUAUAUUGAUGAAAACAUAAUAGGUUCAGAUCUGAAAUCAUGGCACUCGGGCCCUAGUGACAAGCAUUAAGCAUAGCAAAGUUGUAGCAACAUCAAUCUUAGAACACAGUGGAUACUAGGGAUCAAACCCCAUCAAAACUAACUCGAUUACAUGAUAGAUCUCAUCCAACCCAUCACCGUCCAGCAAGCCUCUAUGAGAUUACUCACGAACGAUGGAGAGCAUCAUGGAUUUAGCGAUGGAGGAUGGUGGAUGAUGACGAAGACGCCGAUUUCCCCUCUCCGGAGCCCAGAACGGACUCCAUAUCUGCCCUCCGGAGGAAGAAAGGAGGUGGCGGCGGCUCCGUAUCGUGAAACGUGAUGAAAUCUUCUCUCCUAUUUUUUCCUGGGCGAGAGAGAAUAUAUAGAGUUGGAGUUGGAGGCUGCGGUGUGAUAUAUCCAUUUUGCAUCAAGCUUUCAUGUUGAUAUUUAUUGCUUUUUGGGCUGUUAUUACACUUCACGGUACAAUACUUAUCCCAUUUCUCUCUUAUUUUGCAAGGUUUACAUGAAGAGGGAGAAUGCCGGCAGCUGGAAUUCUGGCCUGAAAAAGGAGCAAGUUUGAGAUACAUAUUGUGCGCAACUCUAAAAGCCGUGAAAAUCAACGAGGAUUUUUUUUGGAUUUAUACAAAAUACUAGGCCGAAGAAGUGCUAGAGGAGCACGAGCAGGAGGCCACAAGCCUGCUAGGCGCGGCCUCCCCCUAGCCGUUCCUAGGGGCUUGUGAGCUCCCUGCUGGCCCACUGGCCCCCCUCUUUUGCUACAAGAAGGGUUUCGGUCUGGAAAACAUCAAGAGGAGGCUUUUCGGAGUCUUCGCCGCCACCAUUAGGCGGAACUUGAGCAGAACCAAUCUACAGCUCGAGCAGGACGAUCCUGCCGGGGAAACUUCCCUCCCGGAGGGGGAAAUCAUCGCCAUCGUCAUCACCAACACUCCUCUCAUCGGAGGGGACUCAACACCAUCAACAUCUUCAUCAGCACCAUCUCAUCUCGAAACCUAGUUCAUCUCUUGUAACCAAUCUUCGCCUCACGACUCCGAUUGGUACUUGUAAGGUUGCUAGUAGUGUUGAUUACUCUUUGUAGUUGAUGCUAGUUGGAUUACUUGGUGGAAGAUUUUAUGUUCAGAUCCUUGAUGAUACUCAUUACCUCUCUAGUCAUGAUUAUGAUUAUGCUUUGUGAGUAGUUACUUUUGUUCCUGAGGACAUGGGAUAAGUCAUGCUAUAAGUAGUCAUGUGAAUUUGGUAUUCGUUCGAUAUUUUGAUGUGUUGUAUGUUGUUUUUCCUCUAGUGGUGUUAUGUGAACGUCGACUACAAAACACUUCACCAUUAUUUGGGCCUAGAGGAAGGCAUUGGGAAGUAGUAAGUAGACGAUGGGUUGCUAGAGUGACAGAAGCUUAAACCCUAGUUUAUGCGUUACUUCGUAAGGGGAUGAUUUGGAUCCACUAGUUUAAUGCUAUGGUUAGACUUUGUCUUAAUUCUUCUUUCGUAGUUGCAGAUGCUUGCGAGAGGGGUUAAUCAUAAGUGGGAUGCUUGUCCAAGUAAGGGCAGUACCCCAAGCGCCGGUCCAUCCACAUAUCAAACUAUCAAAGUAACGAACGUGAAUCAUAUGAACAUGAUGAAAACUAGCUUGAUAGAAAUUUCCAUGUGUCCUCGGGAGCGUUUUACCUCCUAUAAGACUUUGUCCAGGCUUGUCCCUUGCUACAAAAGGGAUUGGGCCACUUUGCUGCACCGUUCUUACUUUUGUUACUUGCUACUUGCCACGAAUCAUCUUGUCACACAACUACUUGUUACCGAUAAUUUCACUGCUUGCAGAUAUUACCUUGCUGAAAACCACUUGUCAGAUCCUUCUACUCGUCAUUGGGUUCGACACUCUUACUUAUAGAAAGGACUAUGAUAGAUCCCCUAUACUUGUGGGUCAUCACGGAGCUACGUGGGCCCCACGAGCCUGCCAGGCGCGCCCUGGGGGGGCGCCUCUUGGGCUCGUGGGCCCCUGGCUCCGUAUCUUUGGGUAAUUCUUGCGCUAGUAUUUUUUUUGUAUAUUCCACAAAAAUCCUCAUAAGUUUCCAGGUCAUUUCGAGAACUUUUUUUUCUGCACAAAAACAACACCAUGGCAAUUCUGCUGAAAACAACGUCACUCCGGGUUAGUUCCAUUCAAAUCAUGCAAAUUAGAGUCCAAAACAAGGGCAAAAGUGUUUGGAAAAGUAGAUACGAUGGAGACGUAUCACCUGGGUCGCCGCAGGAACGGGAGGAUCACCUAGCGCUGCAUUAAGGACAUAUGCCUUCUUGAAAGCCAUGAGGAUGAGCUUUAAGUUACGACCCCAGUCCGCAUAGUUGCUCCCAUCGUCUUUCAGCUUGGUUUUCUCUAGGAACGCGUUGAAGUUGAAUGGGACAUUUGCGUUGGACAUUGGUUCUCCAAUAUUUGUAAAUACAAUUUUGGACUAAGUUCAUGAUAAUUAAGUUCAUCUAAUCAAAUUACUAAUGAACUCCCACUUAGAUCGACAUCUCUCUACUCAUCCAAGUGUUACAUGAUACACGUCGACUAGCCCGUGUCCGAUCAUGACGUGAGACGAACUAGUCAUCAAUGGUGAGCAUCUCCAUGCUGAUCGUAUCAACCAUACGACUCAUGUUCGACCUUUCGGUCUCCCGUGUUCGAGGCCAUGUCUGUACAUGCUAGGCUCGUCGAGUCAACCUAAGUGUUUUGCGUGUGUAAACUGGCUUACUCCCGUUGUAUGCGAUCGUUAGAAUAUAUCACACCCGAUCAUCACGUGGUGCUUCGAGACAACGAUCCUUCACAAUGGUGCACACUUAGGGGAAUACAUAUCUCAAAAUUUUAAUGAGGGAUCAUCUUAUCUUUUCUACCACCGUUCUAAGCAAUAAGAUGAAAAACAUGAUAAACAUCACAUGCAAUCAUAUAGUGACAUGAUAUGGCCAAUAUCAUCUUGCUCCUUUGAUCACCAUCUUUGGGGCACCAUGAUCAUCAUUGUCACUAGCAUGACACCAUUAUCUCCAUCAGCAUGAUCUCCAUCAUUGUGUCUUCGUGAAGUCGUCACGCCAACUAUUACUUCUACUACUAUUGUGACUCCCUCGAUUUGAUCGUAAGCUAAUCAUACACGCAAAUGCGUACGACCAAGCUCAAGGACUCAAGGGAAGAUAUCACAACACAACUCUAGACACACAAAAAAACAUAAAAGCUUCAUAUUACAAGCCAGGGUCCUCGAGGGCUAGAAUACAGAAGCUCGAUAAACACACGAGUCAAUGGAAGCAACAAAUAUCUGAGUACAAACAUUAAACAUGGGGUGCCUUAGAGAAGGCUAGCACAAAAAGAUACAAUGAUUGAACGAGGCGAGGCCUCCUGCCCGGGAGCCUCCUAACUACUCCUGGUCUUCAGCGGCCUCGACGUAGUAGUAGGCACCAUUGGGGUAGCAGUCGUCGUCGGAAGGAUACUCCAUCUCCUGGGCUCCAUCAUCUGGUCGCAGCAACAGAUCGAGGGGACAAAGGGGGAGCAAAGCAACGGUGAGCACUCAUCCAAAGUACUCGCAAGACUGACAUCAGAACUAUGCUAAGUAUGCAUCAGUUUCAAAGGAAGGGAUUGUUAUAUGUGGACUGACUGCAGCAAUGCGAGAAAGAGAGGGAAAGCCUAGUCCUAUCAAAGACUAGCAUCUUCCGGGGUUCUUGCAUCACUAGACGAGAGUAGAACAAGCAACACAAUUAAUAGUCAUAUUGUUGCAGCAAUAUUAAAAAUGGGGUCACGCCUAGAGAUUCUUCCUCAAAUCCCUGCGAGGAAGCAAUCCCGAAGCAAUAUUCCAGUUAAGUUAUUGUUAUAGUUGUAUAAGAUCAGGGCACAACUCCAAGUCGUCCUGUAACCGUGGACACGACUAUUCAAAUAGAUAAGUUCUUCCCUGCAGGGGUGCACAUAUUCCCCAUCACGCUCGAUAAAACUCUGGCCGGACACACAUUUCUGGGUCAUGCCCGGCCUCAAAAUAUCGACACGUCGUAGCCCCACCUAUACUCAACAGAGAUGCCAGCCCGCCGGUCGAAAUCCUAAGCACGCAGGGGUCAUGGGCCCAUCACCCUUUUGCACUCCUGCAUGAUGCGAGGGCGACUAAUGUCAGUCCUAGCACCCCUUAGUACAAGCGCGAUGCAUAUCCGGACCACUCGGGCAUGCACCACUCCAUUGCUGACGUCUGAAGAGGUACAGCUAAUACCACGACAUUGAGUACCCAGAAUUCUUCCCACAUAGAUGGUUAGUGCGUAAUAAGGCCUUCCGAACAACCCAUAUCAAAUACCCAAAUCCAUUAACAUUUUAAUUAACUAAUCGACACAACCACGCGGGAAUCCACCUGCCAAACAUUAUUCAUUAAUGUUCCCAGUAUCAUGGUCAUGUAAAUGUGUGGUUGUAACAUCAGGGGGAUCCGAGGUAUCACCCUCGUUGGAUUCCGAACGAUGUAACCAUCAAGGUGGACUUAGAGGAAUCACCCUCAAGGGUUUUAUUUACUUUCCUUUCACUCCUCUCUCUCUAAACUUAUAGGAACAAACUACUCUUCCUCCUCCCCUCCUGACCUAGCAGGAGAGAAGAAUGGCGCCGGGACGAGGCAGAGCUCGCCGGAGGGCGAAGGGAGGAAGGGUGGUGGUGGUGUUCCUCACCCUCGUUGUAGUCAAGCACCGGCUCGGGGAAGUUCCUUGGGGGGGGGUCGGCGUCGGUGUGGUGGCGGCGGAUCCNNNNNNNNNNNNNNNNNNNNNNNNNNNNNNNNNNNNNNNNNNNNNNNNNNNNNNNNNNNNNNNNNNNNNNNNNNNNNNNNNNNNNNNNNNNNNNNNNNNNNNNNNNNNNNNNNNNNNNNNNNGUGGUGGCGGCGGAUCCGGUGAGGAGGAGCCCGAAGGGACGUCGGAAGGCGCCGGCGUGGGGCUGACCCGGGGCGGGGUGGAUCCGGCGUCGGGUGGCGCGGAAGGGAGCGGGGGCGAUGUGGCACCGGGGAGGUUCUGCGGGGGUGGCUUCAGGCGAGGGAGGGCCGGCAAUGGGGUGAUGGGGCCAGGGCAACGUGGUGGUGAGCGAGAGAGGCGCGACGCGGUCGUGGUUGGUGAAGGUAGCGCGCAGGGAGAGAGCGAGAUGGAUGGGGAUGAGGGGCGGCGGCGCUGGAGGAGGCCGGGGCGAGGGAGAGGGGCUCGGCCGGUGGUGCGGCAGAUGNCGUGGGAUGGGAGACGAGAGAAAGGGAGGUCCUUGCGAGGGUGGGGGACGAGGGGGCUUCGGUCCCCUCGUGGGGUUGGGUGGGUUCGGUGGGUGAGCGGGUGUUGGGCUCUGGUGGGUGUGGCAGCUGGGGGUGGGGAGGGAGUGAGGUAGGUGGGGGUUAGGGUUAGUGGGGGGGGGGUUAUACCCCCCCAAAUUAGGUGGGCUGCUGGUGAGGCAUCAGGGUGGGCUGGCUGGGCCAUUUUGGCCUAGGUUGGCCCACGGGUUCUUCCAUUUUUUUGUUGUUUUGUUUCUGUUUAGUCUUUUUGCUUCAUUACGGUUUUAGAUUUAUUUUAUUUCAGUGCAAUAAAUACUGUUAAAUUUAAUAAUUCUUAAAGGACAACUUACUAAGUAUUAUUUGACAAACAUCAAACAUUUUUAUUUUUAUAUUUGAAAACUUUUAUUGCUUGACUUUAUUUUAAAUUUGAUUUCGAAUCGUUUUGAUCUAACGCGAGAUUAACAAUAGAAAUCAUGGUAAUGUGGCAUCAUUUGCAUAGGUGUACUGUAGUUUAAUUACACAUGUUACUUGUAGCAACAAUUGAGGAUGUCACAACUCUCCCCUACUAACAAGAAUUCUCGUCCCGAGAAUCAAGAGGUAGAAGGAAAGAGCUCGGGGUAUUCAUCACGAAGAUGAUCCACGCGUUCCCAAGUGGCCUCAUCUUCAGAAUGAUUUGACCACUGCAUUUUAAGGAACUUGGUGACCUUGCGACGAUUGCGACGUUCAGCCUGAUCGAGAAUGCGUACCGGAUGCUCUUUAUAAGAGAGGUCCUGUUGCAGCUGAAGCAUAUCAUGAUCCACUGCUUGAAUAGGAUCCUUGAAGCAGUGACGGAGCUGAGACACAUGGAGGACAUCAUGAACCUGAGAAAGGUUUGCCAGUAGUUCCAAUUGAUAAGCUACUUUUCCACGCCUUUCAAGAACAGUGAAAGGACCAAUAUAGCGAGAAGCUAAUUUGCCCUUGAUCCCAAAACGGUGUGCACCUCUCAUUGUUGUGACACGAAGAUAAGCCCUUUCGCCAGGUUGAUAAACCAUAUCUCGAUGAUGACGGCCAUACCGACUUUUCUGACGAGACUGAGCGGCCUUGAGAUUCUCAUCAAUAAUGUGGACUUGAUCUUCGACAUGUUGGAUAACAUCCGGACCAAAGAAUGAUCAUUCGAGUAGAUGGUGGCUCGGGAAUUUCAUACGAAGUCAAGUGUAAAUGAUAGCUGGAAGUCAAGGAUGUACAAGAGAGUCAGGUUUCGAUACUGUGGAACUUGGGUUAUGGGUCCACCAAGUGGGCCAAGAGUAGGUAGAGUAGAGACAUCUUGCACGGUCUAGGUAGCAAGACAUGUCAGAGGAUAGCCUGUCAGUUGUGUCAACAACAAUCAUCGGUACCAAGGGCGGGGGACAAUUAGAACCAUUUCCCUGCUCGCUGAAAUGAGGUGGACCAAUAGGCAAAGUUCUCGUCCACCGGCGGCUACCAGAAUGUUAUCCACAAUAGUAACAGGGUCUUACAGACAGUGUUGUAUACCGAGGUUGUUACCUAAGCAUGGAAUUAACACUGCUUAGAUAAGUUAUGCCACAAGAAAGGUCAAACGGACCAAUGGGAAGGAAAAUGUGUUCACACACACAAGUAUUAAAGUAUACCAUUCCUGAGGAAAAAUAGGGUAUGGUAUACAUGAUAGGUCAUCAAGUACAUAACCAUUUAGGUAAAGAGGCAAGAAGAAUCAUGAUGUUUACCCAUAGCAUACGGGUUGGAUAAUCGAUCAAGAACAAUUUAGCAUUGCGCUUCCAAUGUUCUUGUUGACAUUUGAAGUAUCACAUCCGUGCUUCGGGGUAGCAUAGACAUGGUCAUCAGGUAAAGGCCGAACCUAUGGGUAUACAAAAAGGAUCCAUGAGGAACAACUUAUGAAAUAAGUCAUAUAGUUUCUACAUGGAAGAAUGUCGAAUCUUACAUAUGGAAGAAUUUAUAACAAUAGGUCCUUCGGCCCGGUGUGCCAGACAAGACAUCACCGUACUAGGUUACAUAAAUACCAAAAUUAUAAUUAUUGGGAAAUGUCCCAACCAUCAUAUCCGCCCGAGAUUCAGAUCUGAUUGGUGUCAGGAUACCUCAGGCUCGGGAUGCUAGAGAAGAAAAGGGGGCGACAAAAUCGACAAGAUGGUGAUGCAAGAUCCUUGGUAUAUUAACUACAUAAUCAAUUCUUGAAUCAUGAGUUCGAUUGUAAGACAUAUGAACACAAUGUCAAGACAUUCGUGCCCACAUAGAAUUCUUACGUCAAAAUGCAACUGAGUUCUCAUUUCGGAACCAUCAUCGAGGAUAUCAAGGACAUUGUGUAAGCCUCGAUUAGCUCUUAUGAAGGAACUUCUUUUCCUUGAUCAAAUCAGUCAGUGGCUUGGGGUGCUAAGAGAAAGUUAUAUGAAGUGAAGAUAGCAAAUCUUCAAAACAUAUAACACCGCACAUGCGUGAAUGACUUGGGAUGAUACUAGAGGAAGCAAAACAAAACUUUCACAUAUUCACAGCGGCAAGAAUGCACGUGGACCUUGGGAAAAACACUUGUUCUAUCAAACAUAUCCUUCAUGAGCUAGGCACAAGGAUAAUGCUUUCAAGAGCUUCAUCGUGGAACAUGGACAAGUUGAGGGUGUGGCUGGUGGGCUCAACAACAAUCCCUCAAGAUUAUGACAGGGAUGAAUUUCCAAUAUGAAAGGAACAAGGGGAUAACAUUUGUCAGAUCAAAUGAUAUAAUGACGUAUGUUCGAGGAAACAACAACAAUUUAGCAUUGGUUGAAGGGUGCACUCGGGAAUACUGAAUGAGUAGCACGACCAUUGCUAGAAUGGUGAGUCGACAUCCGAGACACCAAGAAUAAAACUAUCAAUCAUUAACUUUCAAAUGAUAGGGUUGUGAGAAGUAUUGGAAUCAUACAUCACAGUUCACUUGUUGGUAUUCCAAUUUGAAACAACACGGGACCAAGCAAUGAAUGGUGAUGGUGAGAAGUAUUACCAUACCAAGAAUUUCUAAGAGGUGCAAUGAUGCUCACCACAUUAUUGACAUAAAAGAUGGUGAUACUCCAAUGUAGAAGGUAACAUAAGCCGAUUAGCAAGGAACUUAAGGGACAACACAAAACAUGAACAAGUUUGUGUUGGAAGGAAGGCAAUAAGGUUGACGAUCAUUUCACAAAUCAUCGAGAGGCAAGGAUAGUAUUUCUCAUCAUGCAUUCGAUUGAUACCCUGGAAGAGCUCAGAAUGCUGAUGAUGAUUAUGACACAAUUGUCGAGAAGUUUCAUGAAGAUUUAAUCGUUAAGUGAUGACACCAAGCAAAGGAAUUGUGAAGCUAAAGGUUUUUGGAAAUAUAGACAAGAUUGCUAGCUCGGAAUCAAAAUUGCCUUUCAAGACAACCAACAUGAUGUUGAAACAUCGAUGUAAGCUUAACACACAAUUGGAAAUGUGCUCCACGGAUGGAGGAUAGAGAUAGCAUUGUCAAGAUCCAACAUGACGAUGAUGACGUAGCUUCACAGCUUGGAAUGACAUGAUCGAGUACAAACUCGUAAGCAAAGAAGAUUACUAAGAGUUGUUGGAUCGCAAUGCAUACUCGAAUCAGUUAUCGAUAUCCUGAUACGUCCCAAACGUAUCUAUAAUUUGUGCUUGUUCCAUGAUCUUUUGGGUGACAAUGUUAUAUGUUUUGCUACACUUUUAUACCAUUUUACACAUAUUUGGACUAACCUACUAACUAAGUGCACCCAGUGCCAGUUUUUGUCUGCUGAUGUCUAUUUUGCAGGGGCUUUUACCCAAUUUUCGUAAGUCCGAAAAAUUCCAGGAAAAAAAUAAAAAUAAUAAGUGAAAAAGAAGCUUCCGGAUCACCGAAGAUGGGCAAGAGGGGGGCUAGGGGCUGCCCAAGCGACCUGCUGAUGCGGCCAGGCCCUAGGCCACGUCAGGACGCCGCUUGGGUGGGGCCCACCUCCUCCCGUGCUCUCCUUUGGCCUAUAUAUAGAGUCCCGAGAGGAAACCCUACCACAACUUCCGGAAUCGUGAAUUUCUCCAUCGUUCCGCCACUGCAACACUUUCAAGAUUGGGAGCGCCAGGAGACCUCUUCCCGGCACCCUGUCGGAGGGAGGAUUGACCUUCGGGAGCUUCUUCACCGCCAUGGACGCUUCCCGGACGUGCCGUGAGUAGUCCUCCUUGGACCAUGGGUCCAUGACCAGUAGCUAUGUGAUGUCUUCUCUCCAAUCUCGUGCUUCAAUGGUUAGUGCUUGUGAGCUGCCCUACAUGCUCAAGGCAUCUAUGUAAUUCUCUUGCUAUUGCUAUGCUCGGUUUGUUGGGAUCCGAUGGAUUAUGAGAUUAUUUUCAGAUUGUUAUGAGUUAUAUAUUUGAUUAUCCUUUUAUAUUAUGUUCCUUAGUGAUUCAUGCAUGUUCUCCGUUGCUAUUUAUUGCUUUGGCCGAGUAGUAGAUUGUAACUCCAAGAGGGAGCGUUAUGCAUGAUUGUGGGUUCAUGCCCCUCGAUGUCUAGCUUGAGUGACAGAAACAUGAGACUAGGGGAUGUGCAGUUGCCACCAGGGAUAAAACAACUGUGCUUGUGAGCACGGUUGCAAGGAUUGUUGACCUUACGCAUAGUUCGUUAACGCAGUUGUCCGUUGCUUUGACUUUAAAAUUUGGGUGGGGCUCGCAACUUAAUACCGGUGAGAUGUUCUAGAUAGAUAUCUCAAGGUGGAUGAUUAGUAAGUAGAUGCGGAUGAAUAAAUGGUCUACUUGUCUUGGCGUCCUACCCAUUACUAUUGAACGUCUAACUAUCAAGUAUCAUAAUUAGCAUUGCGGUGCAUUCAUAAUUCUGUCAAUUGCCAAACUAUGAUUUGUUUACCCAAGCAUAGUUGUUUAUCGUCUUUUGGGAGAGAGACAUUAUUAAUGAACAUCAUGUAACUCCGGUCCAUAUCACCAUCAUUGUUUACACCCCCAUCAUUUACCGCUUUCAUUUACUUUCCCAUUGCAAUCACUUUUACCUUCCUGCUUGUGUUUUGAUCCUUUGCAAACUACAAGGCCGGAGAGAUUGACAACCUCUCUGUACUUAUUGGGAGAAAAGUUAUUUGUUGUGUGUGCAGGUCCACAUCUUCUGCUAGCGCCAGGGUGGAAGACACCUACUCGUUGAGCCUAGGAGUCCCCCUAGUUCGAUAAACCAUACAGUUCCCGUGUGUGGGAAAACUUGCUGCUGACUACAUCUCAACCUUCCACUUGGGAUAACCAACGGGGUGCGAGAAGUAUAUACAUCAUCUCGUCAUCAAGCAAAGUUUACUGGCGCCGUUGCCGGGGACUCCAGUCUUCAAGAUAGCGGAGUUGUACACUAUCCUUUAACUUUGCUUUUUGUCUUGUUAGUUUGCUUUCUAGUUUUUGCUUUCAUGUCUUGUACGAAAAAACACAAAAAAAGUGAUUUGCUUUGUUCUUUCUUGUUGUUGCUGCUAUGGGGUCCGCUAAGAACACCAAGUUGUGUGACUUCACUAGUUAGGCUUAUGGAAAACUACACUCUUAGUUCGCUGCUUGGGGAAGGCCGCUUUACCACACCCAUGGUAGAGAAGUCUCCUCCACCUACUGAAUGUAUCCCAUUCAAAAUACCACUUGGGAUAAUUGAAGUAAUCAGUAGUUAUUGUUCUGCAGGAGAUGGAACAGUCAAUCCUAGUAUUCAUUUGUUGAAACUUACAGAACUUUGUGAGUUUCUUAAGAUUUCAAGUUUGACAAGAGAUGGAGUCAUGAGGAAAUUAUUUUCCUUGUCAUUGAAAGGAAAAGCAUUGGAAUGGUAUAGGCUACUAGAUGAUUCUCACCUACGGGAUUGGGAAGAGAUUCAGUCUCUAUUUUACUCCAAGUUCUCUUCAUGAAGUCCAUGAGAAUAGGAAUUAUGUUUAUAAUUUCUAUCCUCCUGACAAAGAGAGCAUAGCUCAAGCUUGGGGGAGAUUGGAAACUUUAAUGCUAAAAUGUCCUAACCAUGGGCUCCCCAAAGAUAUUUUGCAUGUGGAUCGUGGUAACAAUGCUUUAUGUGAUACUUAUAUUGUUGAGUUUAUUCAUGAUCCGACUGAAAAUUAUUAUGAUAAGGGAACGUAUGCUUAUAGAUAUUUCAAUAAUAUCAAGUUCCCUCUCUUUAUGUUGAAGGUUUUGAAGCUGCACUUGUUUUGCCUUCCUAUGCUUAUUGCUUUGUGCUUCAAUGGAUUAUUCUAUUGCAAUAUUCCUAUGCAUAGGAAGCAUGUUAGACUUAAAUGUGUUUGGUAUUUGCUUCUUGAUGCUCUCUUUUCUUUACAGCUCUUAUUCCUACGAGAGCAUCAUUAAAAUCUUAAGCCUAUCUUUAUGGCUAUAAAGAAAGAUCUCUAGGGAGACAACCCUUGUUAUCUUUACUUUGAGUUUUACUUUUAGUUUUUACUGGUCUUGAUGCUUGUUACUACUGUAGCAACAUCAUUGUAUCUUUAUUUUUAAGCUUUGUGCCAAGUUAUAGCCUCCGAUUGCAAGAAAGUUCAAAAAAUGUGACAUGCUGUGACGGAAAAAUUUGCGAAUCCUAAGCUUGCUUUUUUAUUUGCAAAAACCUUUUGGCAAUCAUGUGAAGCAGUAGAUUUUCAUGAAAAUAUUCAUUUCCAGCAGGUAAUGAGUUAUUUUAUUAAGGGUACUAACCACUCUAAUCAGGUUAUGAUGAGUUUCGUGUGAAGGGAGUUUUCAAGUAUGCGAUCGGAGACGAUGAAAGAAGAUACACGAGUGUCAAGCGCUCAAGCUUGGGGAUGACCCCAUGCACCCCAAGAAAUAUUCAAGGAUACUCAAGCAUCUAAGCUUGGGGAUGCCCCCAUGCAUCCCCUUCUCUAUCAGCUAUCAUUAGUUCGUCCAUCUCCAUGCUAUAUUUUUAUCACUUCAUAUGUUAUGUGCUAUGCUUGGAGCGUCCCGCUAUUUGCUUUUUAGUUUGUUUUAGUUUUGCUUGAUGUUCAUAACAAGUUGGAACCUAGCCUACCUUGUUUUGGAGAGACACACGCUCCAUUCCACUCUAGAACACAACAUAGGUUUUCAUGCUUAUCUUUUUUGUGUGUUCUUUAUCUUUUGGUAGCUACUGUCAUGCUUAGCUCUUAGUUUUCAUGCUUAUAUUUUGAAGAGCUUUUAUUUAGGUUGCUUUUGUAACUCUCUUGAGUUAUCAUUCUUAUCUUGUUUAGAGAGUUGGCUUGUUGCAGUGAGUUGUGUGUCUUCCAUGAGUAGGUAAUUGAGGUUGCUAUUUAAGUAUAGUAGUAACUUGUAAUAGUUUUGAGGUAUUGAUUUGAGUAAUGUUUGGACUAUUGGUGCCAAGAGCUUGAGCCUAUUAGUGAUAGGUGUCGUAUUUUUGGAAAUCCGUGUGUUUUUUCAAAACUAAAAAUUAGUUGAGAACUCUAGCUACUAAAUUGAUCGCUAACGUCUGGAGGGGUUGGAAUAUAUAGAGUACCCUCACGCUACCAUGAGUCGAGGAUGCACAAGGAUAACCAAACCCUCAAACACUCCUCCUCGGGGUACUUGUCUCUUUGUGAAUUUCCUAACUAGAUAGAGAGUUACCGAUAAUAAGUGUAUGAGUUCUUUGGACUAAUGUGAGUAUUCGAUUGUUGGCACUUCGACCAUCCAUAUUUUGCUAGCCUCUUCGGUACCGUGCAUUACCCUUUCUCACAUUGAGAGUUGGUGCAAACUCCGCCGGUGCAUCCAAACCCAUGACAUGAUACGCUCUGUCAUACAUAAGCCUCAUUAUAUGUUUCCUCAAAACAGCCACCAUACCUACCUAUUAAGGCAUUUCCAUAGCCUUUCCGAGAUACAUUGCCAUGCAACAUCUACCAUCUCAUGACUUGAUCUUCAUGUCAUACAAUUUUUGCUUGAUCGUAGAUCCGCAUGAUAGUUGUGCCUUGCUCCAAUUAUUGCUACAUGACGUGCUAGUAUCAUUGCAUAUCCUGCUACACUCGCAGAGGCAUACAUUUGCAUACAUCAUGAUAGUUUUCACUUGUCUUUAUGUUGAUUCUUUUUAUUUCAUGUAAAAGAUAGGGUAUUGCCCUUAAGUGAAGAAAAGAUCCGAAAGAGGACAAACAAAAGAUCCCAAAGAGGACAAAUGAGAGAUAAAAAUAAAGAGCCAAAGAGGCCACAUAAAAUUUAAAAAAAGAGAAAAAAGAGAGAAGUGGCAACACUACUAUUCUUUUUGAAGAUCCACACUAGUACUCCAUUGCUAUAUUGGUUCUACAUAGAGAUUAUCAUUCAUGCAUAACUAUGUGGGGACCCUUACACUAUUGAACUUGGUUUGAAUAUUCCAAUGAUGAGCCUCCUCAAAUGAGCUCUAGGUCUUCAUGAGCAAACAAGUUGGAUGCACGCCUACUAGUUCCAUUGGAGAGCUUACCUUAGCUCAUAUGUGCAUCCGUUACAUGGCAAUCCCUACUCCUCACGUCAUAUCUAUCAUUUGGCUUUCUCUCGCCUAUGGUUGUCCUCAUUGAUGUGCGACUUUCACUCCUUUUUGUCUUCCUUCCCCAUCAUUAUACUAUUUGCCAUCCUAAGUGCCAACAUAUAUUUCUUACGCUCAUCCAUUGCAUGAGUGCUCAAAGUCGAAAGGGAGAGGAUCAUUUUGACUUGUGCUUGACUAGUGGUCCGGGAUGAGUCAAAAUAAGAUUCCGAAGGAGACUAAGUGUGAGGUUUAGUAUAUUGAGUUCUCAAUUAAAAGAUAUUUUAUGAUCUCAACCCAUCUCCCACUUCUUGCACGCAAACACCAUUUGGAGACAUUCGAGUCACGGAGAGUGAGAGAUCUUGCACCUUUAUGUCCUUACUUUGCUAAACUCAAUACUAGAUACAGACUCUUGCUUGUUAUUAUCUUGAUUUGAAUUGCAUAUCUUACUUGCUUUACUUUGAAGUUCUUAUAUGUGUGUUAGCAUGUCACCACAAAAAUUAUUGAUUUAUCAUUUAUCUACUCGAGGACGAGCAGAAAUUAAGCUUGGGGAUGUUGAUACGUCCCAAAUGUAUCUAUAAUUUCUGUUUGUUCCGUGAUCUUUUGGGUGACAAUGUUAUAUGUUUUGCUACACUUUUAUAUCAUUUUACACAUAUUUGGACUAACCUACUAACUCAGUGCACCCAAUGCCAGUUUCUGUCUGUUGAUGUCUAUUUUGCAAGGGCUUUUACCCAAUUUUCCGGAGCCCGAAAAAUUCCAGGAAAAAUAUAUAAAAAAUCAGCGAAACAGAAGCUUCCGGAUCACUAACGAUGGGCUAGAGGGGGGCCAGGGGCUGCCCAGGCGAGCUGCUAGCGCGGCCAAGCCCUAGGCCACGCCAGGAGGCCGCCUGGGUGGGCCCCGCCUCCUUUGGUGCCCUGCUUUGGCCUAUAUUUAGAGUCCCGAGAGGAAACCCUUCCACAACUUCCAGAAUCGCGAAUUUCUCCAUCGUCCUGCUGCCGCAGCGCUUCCGAGAUCGGGAGCGUCAGGAGACCUCUUCCCGGCACCCUGCCGGAGGGAGGAUUGACCUCCGGGAGCUUCUCCACUGCCAUGGACGCGUCCCGGAUGUGCCGUGAGUAGUCCUCCUUGGACCAUGGGUCCAUGACCAGUAGCUAUGCGGUGUCUUCUCUCUAAUCUUGUGCUUCAAUGGCUAGUCCUUGUGAGCUUCCCUACAUGAUCAAGGCAUCUAUGUAAUUCUCUUGCUAUUGCUAUGCUCAGUUUGUUCGGAUCCGAUGGAUUAUGAGAUUAAUUUCAGAUUGUUAUGAGUUAUAUAUUUGAUUAUCCUUUUAUAUUAUGUUCCUUAGUGAUUCAUGCAUGUUCUCCGUUGCUAUUNNNNNNNNNNNNNNNNNNNNNNNNNNNNNNNNNNNNNNNNNNNNNNNNNNNNNNNNNNNNNNNNNNNNNNNNNNNNNNNNNNNNNNNNNNNNNNNNNNNNNNNNNNNNNNNNNNNNNNNNNNNNNNNNNNNNNNNNNNNNNNNNNNNNNNNNNNNNNNNNNNNNNNNNNNNNNNNNNNNNNNNNNNNNNNNNNNNNNNNNNNNNNNNNNNNNNNNNNNNNNNNNNNNNNNNNNNNAGAAACAUGAGACUAGGGGAUGUGCUGUUGCCACCAGGGAGAAAACCACGAUGCUUCUGACCACGGUUGCAAGGAUUGUUUACCUUACGCAUAGUUCGUUAAUGUAGUUGUCCGUUGCUUUGAGUUUACACUUUGGGUGGGGCUUGCAAAUACCGGCGAGAUGUUCUGGAUAGAUAUCUCAAGGUGGAUGAUUAGUAAGUAGAUGCUGAUGAAUGAAUGGUCUACUUGUCUUGGUGUACUGCCCAUUACUAUUGAACCUCUAACUAUCAAGUAGCAUAAUUACAAUUUGCGGUGCGUUCAUAAUUCUGUCAAUUUCCCAACUGUGAUUUAUUUACCCAAGCAUAGUUUUUUAUCAUCUUUUGAUAGACAGACAACACUAGUGAACAUCAUGUGACUCCGGUCCAUAUCACCAUCAUCGUUUAUACCUCCAUCAUUUACCACUUGCAUUUACUUUCCCGUUGCAAUCACUAUUACCUCCCCGCUUGUGUUUUGAUGCUUUGCAAAAUACAAGGCCGGAGAUAUUGACAACCUCUCUGUACUUGUUGGGAGCAAAGUUAUUUGUUGUGUGUGCAGGCCCACUUCUUCUGCUAGCGCCAGGGUGGAAGACACCUACUUGUUGAGCCUAGGAGUCCUCCUGGUUCGAUAAACCUUACAGUUCUCGUGUGAGUGGAAACUUGCUGCUGACUACAUCUCAACCUUCCACUUGGGGUAACCAACGGGGUGCGAGAAGUAUAUACAUCAUCUCGUCAUCAUAUCCUUGAGUGUCCAAUAACUCAAAACAUGAGGAAAACUAGAAUUAAUGAAAAUAUUUUUGGAGAACGUCGCAUGGGAAACAAAAAAUUUCCUACGGGCACGAAGACCUAUCAUGGUGAUGUCCAUCUACGAGAGGAGAUUUGAAUCUACGUACCCUUGUAGAUCACACAGCAGGAAGCAUUAAGAAACACGGUUGAUGUAGUGGAACGUCCUCACGUCCCUCGAUCCGACCCGCGAACCGUCCCAUGAACCGUCCCGCGAUCCGUCCCACGAUCCGCACCGAUCUAGUGCCGAACGGACGACACCUCCGCGUUCAGCACACGUACAACCCGACGAUGAUCUCGGCCUUCUUGAUCCAUCAAGAAAGACGGAGAAGUAGAUGAGUUCUCCGGCAGCGUGACGGCGCUCCGAUGGUGGUGAAGGAUCUACUCCUGCAGGGCUCAGCCCGAGCUCCACAGAAAUACGAUCUAGAGGUAAAACUAUGGUGUCUAGAUCUGAGUUGCACAUGGCAAAGUUUUCUCAAAUCAGCCCUAAAUCACGAGUAUAUAUAGGAGGGAGGGGGAGGAGGCUUGCCUUGAGGAGAGGUGGAGGAGUCCACCUCCAAUCCUAGUCCAACUAGGAUUGGAAGGUGGAGUCCUUCUCUUCCUCCCCACCUCUUUUUUUUCUUUUCUCUUUGAGUUUCUUAUCCUUGGCACAUAGGACUUAUUGGGCUGUCCCACCAGCCCACCGAGGGAUGGUGUGCCACCCCUAGGGCCUAUGGGCUUCCCCGGGUGGGUUGGCCCCCUCCCGGUGAACAUCCGGAACCCAUUCGUCACUCCCGGUACAUUCUCGGUAAUGCCCAAAAACUUUCCGGUAACCAAAUGAGGUCAUCCUAUAUAUCAAUCUUCGUCUUCGGACCAUUCCGGAAACCCUCGUGAUGUCCGUGAUAUCAUCCGGGACUCCGAACAACAUUCGGUAACCACACAUAUAACUGAACUAUACCAAAACAUCGCCGAACCUUAAGUGUGCAGACCCUGCGGGUUCGAGAACUGUGUAGACAUGCCCCGAGGUACUCCUCAUUCAAUAUCCAAUAGCGGGACCUGGAUGCCCAUAUUGGAUCCUACAUAUCCUCCAAAUAACUUAUCGGUUGAACCUCAAUGUCAAGGAUUCUAGCAAUCCCGUAUGUCAUUCCCUUUGUCCUUCGGUAUGUUACUUGCCCGAGAUUCGAUCGUCUGUAUCCACAUACCUAUUUCAAUCUCGUUAUCGGCAAGUCUCUUUUCUCGUUCCGUAAUACAAGAUCCCGUGACUUACACUUAGUCACAUUGCUUGCAAGGCUUGUGUGUGAUGUUGUAUUACCGAGUGGGCCCCGAGAUACCUCUCCGUCACACGGAGUGACAAAUCCCAGUCUUGAUCCAUACUAACUCAACGGACACCUUCAGAGAUACCUGUAGAGCACCUUUAUGGUCACCCAGUUACGUUGUGACGUUUGAUACACACAAGGUAUUCCUCCAGUGCCAGUGAGUUAUAUGAUCUCAUGGUCAUAGGAACAAAUACUUGACACGCAAAAAACUAUAGCAAUAAAACGACACGAUCAAUAUGCUACGUUCAUAGUUUUGAUCUAGUCCAUCACAUGAUUCUCCUAAUGAUCUGAUCCAGUUAUCAAGCAACAACACUUUGCACAUAGCCUGAAAACGUUGACUAUCCUUGAUCAACUGGCUAGCCAACUAGAGGCUUGCUAGGGACAUUGUUGUGUCUAUGUAUCCACGCAUGUAUCCAUGUUUUCAUUCAAUACAAUUAUAGCAUGGAUAAUAAACGAUUAUCUUUAAAUAGGAAAUAUAAUAAUAACNUUAGUCCUUUUCAGGUACUUCAGAAUAUUCUUGACCGCCGCCCAGUGAUCCACUCCUAGAUUACUCUGAAACCUGUCUGCCAUACUUAUGGCCAAGCUGACGUCUGGUCUAGUGCACAACAUUGCAUACAUCAUAGAACCUACGUCUGAAGUGUAGGGGACAGAACUUAUUGUCUUUCUAUCUUCCGCAGUUGCUGGGCACCGAGUCUUACUCAAUUUUAUACCUUGUAACACUGGCAAGAACCCUUUCUUGGACUCAUCCAUUCUGAACUUCUUCAAAACUUUAUCAAGGUAUGUGCUUUCUGAAAGUCCUAUCAGGCGUUUUGAUCUAUCCCUAUAGAUCUUAAUGCCUAGAAUGUAAGCAGCUUCUCCUAGGUCCUUCAUAAAGAAACUUUUAUUCAAGUAAACUUUUAUGCUCACCUAAAGCUCCACGUUGUUUCCAAUCAGCAAUAUGUCCUCCACAUCUAAUAUUAGAAACACCACAGAGCUCCCACUCACUUUCUUGUAAAUACAAGAUUCUCCAACUAGUUGAAUAAACCCAAAUGCUUUGAUCACGUGAUCAAAACGCUUAUUCCAACUCCGAGAUGCUUGCACCCGUCCAUAAAUGGAUUGCUGGAGCUUGCACACUUUGUUAGCAUUCUUAGGAUCGACAAAACCUUCGGGUUGCAUCAUAUACAACUCUUCCAUAAGAAAACCCUUUGCCAGAUUUCAUAAUCAUAAAAGGCAGCUAUUGCUAACAUGAUUCAGACAGACUUAAGAAUCGCUAUCGGUGACAAAGUCUCAUUGUAGUCAAUUCCUUUCACUUGUGAAAAACCCUUUGCCACAAGUCGAGCUUUAUAAACAGUCACAUUACCGUCUGCGUUUGUGUUCUUCUUAUAGAUCCAUUUGUUCUGAAUAGCCUUGCGGCCUUCAGGUAGUACUUCUAAAGUCCAUACUUUGUUCUCGUACAUGGAUCCUAUCUCGGACUUCAUGGCCUCCAGCCAUUUGUUAGAAUCCGGGCCCACCAUUGCUUCUUCAUAAUUCGCAGAUUCAUUGUUGUCCAACAACAUAAUCCUUAUGACAGGAUUACCAUACCACUCAGGAGCAGCACGUGAUCUUGUCGACCUGCGAGGUCCGAUAGUAACUUGAUCCGAAGUUUCAUGAUCAUGAUCAUCAACUUGUUCCUCAACCGGCGCCGCAACAACAUGGGUUUCCCCUUGCCCUGCGCCACCAUCAAGAGGAAUCAGAGGUUGGACAACCUCAUCAAGUUCUAUCUUCCUCCCACUCAAUUCUUUCAAGAGAAACUCCUUCUCAAGAAAAACUCCGUUUUUAGCAACAAACACUUUGCCCUCGGAUUUGAGAUAGAAGGUAUACCCAAGUGUCUCUUUUGGGUAACCUAUGGAGACACGCUUUUCCGCUUUGGGUUCCAGCUUUUUAGGCAGAAGCUUUUUGACAUAAGCAUCACAUCCCCAAACUUUAAGAAACGACAACUUUGGUCUUUUGCCAUACCACAGUUCGUAUGGUGUCGUCUCAACGGAUUUUGAUGGUGCCCUAUUUAAAGUGAGUGCAGCUGUCUCUAAUGCAUAACCCCAAAACGAUAACGGCAAAUCGGUAAGAGACAUCAUAGAUCACACCAUCUCCAAUAAAGUAUGAUUACAACGUUCGGACACACCAUUACGCUGUGGUGUUCCAGGCGGUGUCAACUGUGAAACAAUUCCACAUUGUCUUAAGUGAACACCAAACUUGAAACUCAGAUACUCACCCCCACGAUUAGACCGUAGGAACUUGAUCUUCUUGUUAUGAUGAUUUUCAACUUCACUCUAAAAUUGCUUGAACUUUUCAAACGUCUCAGAUUUGUGCUUAAUCAAGUAGACAUAACCAUAUCUACGCAAAUCGUCAGUGAAGGUGAGAAAAUAAUGAUAUCCGCCGAGUGCCUCCACACUCAUCGGACCACAUACAUCGAUAUGUAUGAUUUCCAACAAGUCACUUGCACGCUCCAUUGUUCUGGAGAAUGGAGUCUUAGUCAUCUUGCCCAUGAGGCAUGGCUCGCACGUGUCAAGUGAAUCAAAGUCAAGUGACUCCAAAAGUCCAUCAGUAUGGAGUUUCUUCAUGCGCUUUACACCAAUAUGACCUAAGCGGCAGUGCCAUAAAAACAUGGCGCUAUCAUUGUUAACUCUAACUCUUUUUGUCUCAGUGUUAUGUAUACAUGUAUUAUCACUAUCAAGAUUCAAUAUGAACAAUCCUCUCACAUUGGGUGCAUGACCAGAAAAGAUAUUACUCAUAGAAAUAGAACAACCAUUAUUCUCUGACUUAAACGAGUAACCAUCUCGCAAUAAACAAGAUCCAGAACUAAUGUUCAUGCUUAACGCAGGCACUAAAUAAAAUUUAUUUUAGUUCAUAACUAAUCUUGAUGGUAACUGAAGUGAAACUGUGCCGACGACGAUUGCAUCAACCUUGGAACCAUUUCCCACGCGCAUCGUCACUUCAUCCUUCGCCAGCCUUCGCUUAUUCUGCAGUUCUUGUUUCGAGUUGCAAAUAUGAGCAACAUAACCGGUAUCGAAUACCCAGGCACUACUACGAGAGCUGGUUAAGUACACAUCAAUCACAUGUAUAUCGAAUAUACCUAAUUUUUCCUUGGCCGCCUUCUUAUCAGCCACAUACUUGGGGCAGUUGCACUUCCAGUGAAUCAUACCCUUGCAAUAAUAGCACUCUGUUUCAGGCUUAGGUCCAGCUUUGGGUUUCUUUGUUGGAUUGGCAACAGGCUUGCCGCUCUUCUUUGAAUUAUCCUUCUUUCCUUUGUCGUUUCUCUUGAAACUAGUGGUCUUAUUCACCAUCAACACUUUAUGCUCUUUACGGAGUUCUGACUCUGCGACUUUCAGCAUCGCGAAUAACUCGUCGGAAGACUUGUUCAUCCCUUGCAUGUUAUAGUUCAACACAAAGCUCUUAUAGCUUGGUGGCAGUGAUUGAAGAAUUCUGUCAGUGAUAGCCUCUUGCGGGAGUUCAAUCCCUAACUCAGCUAGACGGUUUGAGUACCCAGACAUUUUGAGCACAUGUUCACUGACAGACGAAUUCUCCUCCAUCUUGCAAGCAUAGAACUUAUCGGAGGUCUCAUACCUCUCGAUCCUGGCAUUCUUUUGAAAGAUAAACUUCAACUCCUGGAACAUCUCAUAUGCUCCAUGACACUCAAAGAAACGUUGAAGUCCCGACUCUAAGCCAUACAAGAGUGCACAUUGAACUACUGAGUAGUCCUCCUUGCGUGCUAACCAAGCGUUCUUAGCAUCUUGGUCAACCGCGGCGGGUGGUUCAUCUCCGAGUGCAGCAUUAAGGACAUAAUCCUUGUUCCCAGCUUGCAGGAGCAACUUAAGAUUACGAGCCCAGUCUACAAAGUUGCUUCCAUCAUCUUUCAACUUAGCUUUCUCUAGGAACGUAUUAAAAUUCAGGGUGACUAUCGCGUGAGCUAUCGAUCUACAACACAAAUAUUUUCAAAGUGGACUUAGACUAUGUUCAAGAUAAUUAGAGUUUAACUAAUCAAAUUACUUGCUAAACUCCCACUCAAAAAUUACAUCUCUCUAGUCAUUUGAGUGGUACAUGAUCCAAUUUCACUAGCUCAAGUCCGAUCAUCAUGUGAGUUGAGGAUAGUUUCAGUGAUAAGCAUGUCUAUGCUAAUCAUAUAAACUAUACGAUUCAUGCUCGAACUUUCGGUCUCAUGUGUUCCAAGGCCAUGUCUCCACAUUCUAGGCUCGUCAAGCUUAACCCGAGUGUUCCGCGUGUGCAACUCUUUUGCACCCGUAGUAUGUGAACGUUGAGUCUAUCACACCCGAUCAUCACGUGGUGUCUCGAAACGACGAACUGUAGCAACGGUGCACAGUCAGGGAGAACACAAUUUCGUCUUGAAAUUUUAGUGAGAGAUCACCUCAUAAUGCUACCGUCGUUCUAAGCAAAAUAAGGUGCAUAAAAGGAUUAACAUCACCUGCAAUUCAUAAGUGACAUGAUAUGGCCAUCAUCAUGUGCUUCCUGAUCUCCAUCACCAAAGUACCAGCACGAUAUUCUUGUCACCGGCGCCACACCAUGAUCUCCAUCAUCAUGAUCUCCAUCAACAUGUCGCCAUCGGGGUUGUUGUCCUACUUAUGCUAUUACUACUAAAGCUACGUCCUAGCAAUAUAGUAAUCGCAUAUGCAAACACAAACGUUAGUUUAAAGACAACCCUAUGGCUCCUGCCGGUUGUCGUACCAUCGAUGUGCAAGUCAAUAUUAACUAUUACAACAUGAUCAUCUCAUACAUCCAAUAUAUCACAUCAUGUCAUUGGCCAUAUCAUAUCACAAGCAUACCCUCCAAAAACAAGUUAGACAUCCUCUGAUAACCCACAAGUAUAGGCGAUCGCAACAGUUUUCGAGGGUAGAGUAUUCAACCCAAAUUCGUUGAUUCGACUCAAGGGGAAGCCAAAGAAUAUUCUCAAGUAUUAGCAGUUGAGUUGUCAAUUCAACGACUCCUGAAAGAUUUAGUAUCUGCAACAAAGUAUCAGUAGCAAGGUAGUAUGAUAGCAUCAGUAGCAACAGUAACCAGUAGCAAUAGUGACAGCAGUAGCAACAGAGUAACAGUAGCAGUAGUGACAACAGUAGCAGCAAAGUAAUGUAGCAAGGACCAGUAGGAAAAGACUCGUAGGCAUUGGAUCGGUGAUUGAUGAUUAUGUCGGAUGCUAUUCAUCAUGCAACAGUUAUAACACAAAGAGAAUGUAACUAGCUCCAGUUUGUCAAUCUAAUGUAGGCAUGUAUUCCGUAUGUAGUCAUACGUGCUUAGGGAAAAGAACUUGCAUGACAUCUAUUGUCCAUCCCUCCCAUGGCAGCGGGGUCCUAAUGGAAACUACGGGAUAUUAAGGUUCUCCUUUGAAUAAAGAACCAGACCAACUCAUUAACACUUGGUGAAUACGUGAACUCCUCAUACUAUGGUCAUCUCCGGGAGUGGUUCCGGCUAUUGUCACUCCGGGGCUGCUGGGUCAUAACACAUAGUAGGUCACUACAACUUGCAAGAUAGGAUCAAGAACACACAUAUAUUGGCGACAAUAUAAUAGGUUCAGAUCUGAAAUCAUGGCACUUGGGCCCUAGUGACAAGCAUUAAGCAUGGCAAAGUAGUAGCAACAUCAAUCUCAAAACAUAGUGGAUACUAGGGAUCAAUCCCCGUCAAAACUAACUCGAUUACAUGAUAGAUCUCAUCCAACCCAUCACCGUCCAACAAGCCUACGAUGAGAUUACUCACAAACGGUGGAGAGCAUCAUGGAAUUGGCGAUGAAGGAAGGAUGGUGAUGACGAUGGCUACGAUUUCCCCUCUCCGGAGCCCAAAACGGACUCUAGAUCUGCCCUCCAGAUGAAGAACAGGAGGUGGCGGUGCCUCCGUAUCGUAAAACGCGAUGAACUGUUGUCCUUGAUUUUUUUCCGGGCGAGACAGAGUAAAUAGAGCUGAGACUGGAGGCGGUGGAGUGUUGUGGGCCCCACAAGCCUGGCAGGCGUGGCUAGGGGGGGCCACGCCUGGUGGGAUUGUGGGCUCCACGCUCCACUUCCUCCGCUGAUUCUUGCGCUAGUAUUUUUUAUAUAUUCCACAAAAAUUCUCCGUAAAUUUUCAGGUCAUUCCGAGAACUUUUAUUUCUGCGCAAAAACUACACCAUGGCAAUUCUGCUGAAAACAACGUUAGUCCGGGUUAGUUCCAUUCAAAUCAUGCAAAUUAGAGUCCCAAACAAGGGCAAAAGAGUUCGGAAAAGUAGAUACGACGGAGACGUAUCAACUCCCCCAAGCUUAAAGCUUUGCUUGUCCUCAAGCAAUUCAGUUGACAAACUAAAAGAGACAAAAGAAAAACUUUUAAGAACACUAUUUGAUCUUGUUGUUGCAACUAUGUCUAACUCAUAACCAGGAUUUCAGCAAGAUCACAAGCUAACCACAUAAGCAAAUGACAUCUAGGUCUCACGGUAAACUCAUAUCAAUGGCAUAAUCAACAAGCGAGCAAAUAAUAAUAAGUCUCAAACGUCACCAGUUCAAUCAAAACAAUCAUGAAGCAGUACUAACAGAUGGUAUCUCGCUAGGUCUUUCUAAGAUCGCAAAACAUAAAUGCAGAGCACCUUCAAAGACCAAGGGCUGACUAAACAUUGUAACUCAAGGCAAAUAAGAUCAAGUCACAGUCAUACUCAUCACAGUUAAAAGCAAAGCAUAAAAAUGACAGAGGUGGUCUCCAAUUGGUGCUUUUAUAAGAGGAGGAUGACUCAACAGGAACAUAAAUAGACAGGCCCUUCGCAGAGGGAAGCAUUGAUUUGCAGAGGUGCCAGAGCUCAAGCUUUGAAAACAGAGGUAAUAAUUUUGGGUGGCAUGCUUUCAUUGUCAAUGCAAUUACUAAGAGUUUUCACCAUCUUCCAAGCUACACAUGCUAUAGGCGGUUCCCAAACAGAGAAGUAAAGUUUUAACUCCCCCACCACCGAUCAAUCACACUCCACGACUAGCCGAAUCCUCGGCUGCCGUCCAUACCAACAUCAAUCGAGGGGGAGUUUUGUUUGCAAUUAUCUUUUUGAUUUUAGCAUGGAACUGGGCAUUCCAAUUACCAGCCCCUUUCUCGUGAAUGAUAGUGAAUAAACACAUAUCGAGGAUAACACGCCUAGCAUGGAAGAUACGGAUAGCCCCCUGUCACCACAUGAGUGGUUCGGGCAUGCAGAACAGAUUAUUUCUUGAAGGUUUAGAGAGUGGCACAUGCAAAUUUACUUGGAACGGCACGUAGAUACUGCAUAUAGGUAGGUAUGGUGGACUCAUAUGGAACAACUUUGGGUUUAUGGAAGUGGAUGCACAAGUAGUAUUCCCGCUUAGUACAAGUGAAGGCUAGCAAAAUACUGGGAAGCGACCAACUAGAGAGCGACAACAGUCAUCAAGAUGCAUUGAGAUUAACUAACAUUGAGUGCAAGCAUGAGUAGGACAUAAAUCACCAUGAACAUGAAUAUCAUAGAGGCUAUGUUGAUUUUGUUCCAACUACAUGCGUGAACAUGCGCCAACUCAAGCCACUUGAAACAUUCAAAGGAGGAUACCAUCCUAUCAUACUACAUCAUAGCCAUCUCAAAAUUCAUGUUGGCAACCAAGAAAAAGCAUUAUAAGCUCCUAGCUAAUUAAGCAUGGCAUCAGAAACUAUGAUCUCUAAGUUGUCAUUGCCAACAUGUUUCUCUCACAACAAAGCUGAAUCAGGAACGAUGAGCUAGUCAUAUUUACAAAAAAAAAUAGAUCGAGUUCAUACCAGCUUUUCCAGGCUCAGUCACUUAAUCAUAUAUCGUCAUUAUUGCCUUUCACUUGCACGACCGAAUGAUGUGAACAAUAAUAAGAGUGCUCGUGCAUUGGACUAAGCUAGAAUCUACAGGGAAACACAAAGGAGAAGACAAACUAAUAUGGCUCUUUAACAGAUAAACAAUUAUGCAUGCGAGAGCCACCAAACUUUGUAACCAUGGUCUUCUACCUUGACCCAAAGAAAAAGAAAACUAUUUACACGGGAAAGCUCCCAACAAGCAAAAGAAGAACAAGAAAUCAUUUUGGGGUUUUCUCAAACUAUAGAAACACACGAAAAGAAAAUGAGAGAGAAAAAAAAUGAACUAGCAUGGAUGAUACAGUGGCAAAGUGUGAACACCGACAAACAAAGUGAAAGCAUAAGCAAGAAUGUAAAGUCGGUGAGAAACACGUACUCCCCCAAGCUUAGGCUUUUGGCCAAAGUUGGUAUACUCCCAUGGAUGGUCCGGGCGAUACCUAAAAUCAUAAUGGGGGUUAUACGGGAGCGCUGCAGCCACUGCCUGAAUAGAUGCCUCACGGAGACGAGCGGACUUUGCCUCCCUCUCAUACUCCUCUGCCUCUCCUCUGGUUAUGUAAUAUCUACUUUUUACCUGAAAGUCAAAGAAGGUAGGAGCAGGAAGGG
rnacentral:lncRNA from 1 species